rnacentral:lncRNA from 1 species
CGUGAUUCAUCUUAAUUUUAAGGGAUAACGUAAAACAUUUAGACAUUUUGUAACUCCAUUUUCAGUAGCAGCAAAAGAUUUUGAGAGUCAUUAACUGUCUUCUCCAUGGUAAAAUAAGCAUUUUCGCAGGGAUCUUUAUCAUUGUUACAUGUCUCUAAAUUAAAAAAAAAAAAAAAGGAAGAAAAUUGCAAGUUAUAGGUAACCCAAUCCUUGUAUAAAUUGAAAUUUUGUAUCUCCAGGCUGUCAAGCCUCGAUUGUCCAAUUUUGACUCUACCGCUCUUAUGACGAAUAUGAGGUUUUAUGUCAGCUGCAUUAACAUGCAUUUAUUCCUGAAUAACAUGAAAAUAUUUACUUUUUCCAAAAACUGUUUGAUGUUUAUCUAAACGCGACCAUAGAAUUCAAAUCCUUGGGUUGGCAGUUAGGGGUAGGAAAGGUUGAAAGGUAAAGGUCAAAAUAUGUAAAUUUUUAAGGGAACAUGUAAGAAUUUGUAAAACCUUAGACCCCCAAACAACGCCAUGAAACUUCCGCCUAUUAAUGGCUGAACGCAACAUGGACACCCAUAUUAAUCAAAUGGUAUAUACGUAGCGCAAAACAACAAUGAUAUUGCCAAAUCAAAUGGUUAGUCAUGCAUGCAUAGUCAACAUGAAUCCUGAUGAAUAAAGGCCCCCACAAUGCACAUUAUCAACUGGUAACUUUAGGUUUCAGUUUAACGGUAGGUGGGCUAUUUAUCUCUCUGAACUCAACCUUAAUCAUCAUGCAUAUUCUGGACUCUGGAGUCUGAAUGACUCAUAAUGUAUGUGUAACGAUGGUUAAAUAUUUCUAAAGCUUUUUCAGUGUGUGAUGCCCAAAUCGUGUGUUUGAGAACCCUGACCAGGGAAGCCAAAGACAAUUCGCUUGGUUUGCAUGUAACAGGAAUAAUCGUGCUGGAAUAUUUUUCUUGUGGAUGCUAGUUUGUUGCUCAUCUCAUUCUCGCCAAGUCCGGAUAAAACGAAUGAGAUUUUAUGGAAUUGCUCCUGAUAUCGUCGCCAUGGCUGUGUGAUAUGCGUCAAAGAUUAGGCAGGCAUGCAAAUUCCGAUGCAAGUGGCCAAGAAGCAUGGAGAAUUGAAGAUGGAGAUAGAACAAAGAAAAAUUCAAGAAUAAAAAAAAAAAAAAAAAGAGGCGCAGAUGGACUUGGAGAAUCCCCCGUCACAAUAUUCUACUCCCUUUCCCAUCUCACUGUAUAUCGUUUUCUUUGUUGUUGUUGUUGUCUCAUCAAAUCAAACAAAUUUUAGCUAGUAAUAGAGGUGGUGGUCCUCCAUCUUUCCACUUGUCAAUGCCCCAUAGCUUCAGCCCUACUCCAUGUUCCAACAACUUGAUACAUCAUUUUGCGCAGAAUCCCCCUAGCCCUAAUCUAAUUAUACUUGAUGGGAAUUGAUGAUAAAGAACUAGGGUUAGUCCAACGGGGGUGCGCAUUCGUUAAAAUAUAAUUCAGGUGUUAGAUUUUCGGAGAGAUAAGAUUAAUUAGGAAAAGUGUAUAAAUGUAAUUAUUUAUUAGGAUAUAAUUUAGGUAUUAGAUUUUAAAAAAUAUAAAAUUAAUUAGAAAAAGUGUAUAAAUAGAAGCGAGGGUGAUAAUUGCUUGUAUGUGCAUAUACAUGGUAGGUUAGGUGGAAUUUAAAUAUGUUAAAAGUGUUGGGGAUAAUACAAGGAAAAAUGGCUAAUGAUACAAAUAGAAAAUGAUAUGAAAUGGCUUCAAAUUGUGGUUCAAAAUCACUUUUCUUUAAGAUUUAUUUGUCCAGAUUUUUAAUGUGCAAAGGAUUUGGACAAAUAUCAUUUAGGAUAAUUUGAAGGAUAUUUGUUUUUAACUCUUGCAUAAAGUUAGACAAAUCAACUUGAACAAUGGUAUGUUUUUGCAAAGGAUUUUAAAGAGGAAGAAAAUAAUGUUUUGCAGCAAACCACCCCUUGCUAGACCUUUUAUAUAGUGGAGAGGAGAUUACGAAGGAUCAAGUCGUGACUUUUAGUCUACAAAACAUGCGUUAACUAAAUGGUUUCUCAAACACUACUAUUAUAAGUGUUCAGACCAUUCUAGACAUUUUGGAAAGGUGACUAACCAUUGUAGCAUGAAAAGGGUAUAAAAAAUGAUCAGUUUCUAACCGUUACACUGAGUUCAGGUGAUGUCCGGUCCAAAGACUGACGCCGAUCGUCACAUAUGCUGUUCAAUUCAAGAAUCUGGUGAUGUCCGACUCAAUCUUCGGUUCAAAGACCAGGACCGGACAUCAACGGACCAAUUUUGUAAAUUUCCCAACAAAAAGAACUAAAAUAUGACUACAUAAUGUUGGGAAAUCAAGUGUGAAUCAAUGUCCCACAUCGGAAAGAGAUGAGUAGAAUGAGGAACAUAUAAGUGGGAAUGACCCAUAGACUCAAUGCCUUAAGGUUUUGGGUUGAAUGUGGUGUCAAACUCAUGGUUGUGGUUCCCAUUCUAACUCAUGGUUUAAUUUCCCCCGGGUUUGGCUCUCUCUGAGCCCAACAGUGGUAUCAGAGCUAGGUGGUUCGACAGGGCAGUGACUCCAGGAUAAAAGCCAGUGGGAGUGGUAAGGCGUGGCUGGUUUGGAUAAAAGCAGGGAAAGAAUCAUGCGGACCUGCAGUGAGGCAGGGCAUGUGGGCUUUUGAGCAAGAAUCGCACACUCCUAAUUGAAGUGGGCUUAAUGGAGUGGAUGGGCUAGGGAGAGAGGUCCGACGUGGAAGAGAUUCACACUUGAGGGGGAGAUUGUUGGGAAAUCAAGUGUGAAUCAAUGUCCCACAUCGGAAAGAGAUGAAUAGAAUGAGGAACAUAUAAGUGGGAAUGACCCAUAGACUCAAUGCCUUAAGGUUUUGGGUUGGAUGUGGUGUCAAGCCCAUGGUUGUGGUUCCCAUUCUAGCUCAUGGUUUAAUUUCUCCCGGGUUUGGCUCUCUCUGAGCCCAACAGUGUUUGUUAGGAAAUUGGCUUAAAUUCUUUUAGGUAGAUUUCUUAUUUUGUGUGGAAGUAACUAGUUUCCUAAUUGGUUUUAGUUACUUGAAGUAGUAGCUAAGAAAUUCUAUUUAGUUUAGGAAAUAGUAUUGGUUUCCAAUUGUUAUUUCAUUUUUUGGCAGUAAUGUUCCCUAUAAAUAGAUAGGUUGGCAUACCACACAAGGAAACACGAGAACGCACAAGGAACACAAGGGGCAUCAUGUAACCUUAUACAUGAGGUGUGAGAGAGGGUUCUUGGGAGAUGAGAGAUGGUAUACAAGGGUUGGGUUUGGAUUCAAGUUGUAUUCUUGUAUAGGGUUUUCCUCUCAUAAUAAAGAACAGGUUUCUCUCCGUGGAUGUAGGCUCAAUGGUGGAGCCGAACCACGUUAAAUAUUGUGUGUCGUUUAUCUUUCAUGCUUGUGACUUGUUUCCUCAUUAAAUUGUUGUGCACUUGAUGUCUCAAUAGUUGUUUAUUCCGCGCCUGGAUCCUAACAAGUGGUAUCAGAGCUUGGUUGUGAGACAGGGCUGCUCAAGAUUCGUAGUUGGUUCCUAGUUAACUAUUGAAAUCAAGUGGAUUGAUAGUUGUUACCAAUUGAAUAAUUUAAUGAGUGGUAUCCUUGUUUCAAUGGCUUGGCAAAAAGCAUUGAUGGUGAAGGAUGGGAAGUCGAAAAGCAUGGAAAUGCUUGACGGUGAAUCUAGGCAGGUGAUUCAAGGGUCAAGAGAAAGGUGGAGUCCAAUGUUGAUUUGGACGUGAAUCGGUGGAGACUUUCUCACACAUCCAACGGUUGAUUCUUCAUCCCAAUGGAUUUUAGAUUUUGGUUAUGUUUUGGGUGAUGUGGCACGUGUCCCAAAGAAACAAGGAGAUCUAAUUUCUAUGCGUCAGAAGACUCUGACAGGUACGAGUUUUUCGUUUUAGGUGGAGUCUUGGAAACCACAUGUGGCGAGACAGUCCUGAGGAUGGGAAGAAGUAUGGUAAUUUUACCACUUGAUUGCCUCAAUGGUUAGAGUUAGAGCUCACAGAAGGGGAUUCCAAAUUGCAAGUGGUGGUGAGAAGAAAUCCUGCAAAGGGAGAUGGUGAAUUGAGGCACCUUCUCACGAGUCAACUGGAGGUUGGACUCGGGGUAACUACACAUGUUCAUUUGCCGAUUGAAUCAAUUUGGUAUCAGGACUGUAUUGAUUCGAGUGUGUAGUUUGGUACCAUAUUAUUUGGUAGUUGAAGGCAAAUGGUUGCUAAAAGAAAUUUUCGCCAAGGUGGAGAUUUGUUAGGAAAUUGGCUUAAAUUCUUUUAGGUAGAUUUCUUAUUUUGUGUGGAAGUAACUAGUUUCCUAAUUGGUUUUAGUUACUUGAAGUAGUAGCCAAGAAAUUCUAUUUAGUUUAGGAAAUAGUAUUGAUUUCCAAUUGUUAUUUCGUUUUUUGGCAGUAAUGUUCCCUAUAAAUAGAUGGGUUGGCAUACCACACAAGGAAACACGAGGACGCACAAGGGACACAAGGGGCAUCAUGUAACCUUAUACAUGAGGUGUGAGAGAGGGUUCUUGGGAGAUGAGAGAUGGUAUACAAGGGUUGGGCUUGGGUUCAAGUUGUAUUCUUGUAUAGGGUUUUUCUCUCAUAAUAAAGAACAUGUUUCUUUCCGUGGAUGUAGGCUCAAUGGUGGAGCCGAACCACGUUAAAUAUUGUGUGUCGUUUAUCUUUCAUGCUUGUGACUUGUUUCCUCAUUAAAUUGUUGUGCACUUGAUGUCUCAAUAGUUGUUUAUUCCGCGCCUGGAUCCUAACACAUAAUUGCCAAAGAAUUUGCUGUGAAAAAUGAAGUUGAAAUCCUUUGAAGUAAAUUUUAACAAUUUUGAGAUGGUGAAUACGGUUCUCAACGAAAAUAUAAUAAUCAUCGGGAUCAGGUCUAAUUUCCAAAGAAAGAAAAAAAUCAUACGCAACCGCCUUUGGCAGGUUUCAAUUAUUGCCGUACAUCUUUUCCCAAGUCAAGGCUGCUGCUUCGUCAAGUUAGCACUUAGCACCGCAGGGAAACCAGGCUGCCCAUAUCUGGAAUGGAAUAUAAGGCUUAUACGCCACAACGGGCAAUGUCACCUCAGAUUAGCCAUAACGGGUAUUGCUCAUCUAGCAGGCUGUCUUUUCCUUCCGGAUGGAGGGGCCCAUGCCAACAAUUGUAGAGUGCAAUUCAUAUCAAUUAAAAGUUUUCUUUGAAACUAAAAUAGUUGUGAUUAAUCUAAAAUACCAAUUUCCAUAAACAAAUAAACGGCUAAUAUUAUUGUUGUUAGACAUUUUGUGUUGUCUUAGAGUUGAAAUUUUGAUGUAUUAUUAUCACCGUAGAUUAUCCCAUGUUCCAGAAGAGAAAUUAUAUCAAGUGCAGCAAUUCCAAAUGGUGAAUGGAUAGGAUAUUUCGAACAAGGCAAAUUUUAAAAAGAGUAAGUUCAAAACACUUGAUGUAAUUAAUUUUGAUGUAACUGAUAUGCACAGUCUCACGUGAACAAUAAUUAAAUAUGAAAUUCCAACCACAAAAUUGUAUUAAUAAUUUGCGAUGAACUACAAUUUAUGUCUCUUUUUGCAGCAAUUACAGCAGCACCUCAUCCAUCGACCUGUCCCCUCCGCGAAGGAGUGGAACGCAGCCUUUCUCUUGUUGAUAGAUUUACUUUUCCUUUUUGGGACUUGGUCACUGCCCAGCAGGCUUCUCGUCAAGGAACAUAGAACUAAGCAUAUUUCACUGGUCUUAUCUCUUGGUAUUUGCUUUUCUUUACUACUCAUCUCGUCGUUGAAUUCGCUAAUGCAUGAUCGAUCUUUGGUGCAAACUGCCAAAUUCCGUAAUGGACACAUAGUCAAAUUUGUUUAUCCGUCCAUCCAGACCUCCACAAUGUUGCAAGGUUUUGUCAAAAGAUUCCUUCAAGGAGAAUGGCUGGGAGUGGGAAAGCAUCAAACUUUCCUGAUCUGGGUACAUCUUUAUUCGAUUACUUUUGGGUUCGAUCCCUCUGGCUGUGGGUCAUAGGUUCUUUUAGUUCGGGCCAGCCGGACAACCAUACACGAUGAAGAUAUCUCCAGAAGAGAAAGAUGAAGAUGAUGAUGCUACUUUUAGACUUCUUUGGAACUUUUAACAACAUAAUAUGGGAGUGGAAGCCCCCAUUCUCUAACAUGGAGAUGGCAUAUCUUCCAACCCAGUGCCCUUUUCUUUUGCGUGUGCUUCCUUUGCAUCUUUAAUUUCUAAUAGUUAUUGUUUGCAAUGGCCAAUGAGACGCGUUGGAGUACUGUCAUCUUUUGCACCCCUUGUAACUUGAUCAACGAGAUAAAUCAACCAUAUUAAACUCCCGUGGUGCCACAGUUGCAUCAGUACAUUAAACAUCAUCAUCAUCUGGAGACGGAUCGAUCACCUUAAUUGUGUAUUCAUCUCCUAUUGGAUCUAUGUUACGUAAUCUCCAUUAGCUCCAAAUCUCAGAUUCCAACCUGGAAAACUAUAAACUAACUGGAUUUGGAUGAGUGAGUGAUGGGGUUUCUUUCCUCCAGCUUGUCAUGCCACUAGAACAAUUCAGUUGGCCACAUCACUUGACAGAAUGAUGAGCUGGGGUGUGGGAAGGAACCCGUAUAAUUCUAAUUCUGUCGACCUCGCCUUCGGGAAUCACUUGAAUUGCGAUUUUCUUUCUUUUGGUCGUUUAUUUGCCUUUAACCCAAGCACUAUAAUCCUUCAAAACCUCGCGUGAAGGAUAACAUCGGAUCUUGCAUUAAUCAGCUAAGUACGCAUCAAGAGGAGUCGCUACUAGCUUAACUUCACUCAGUUCUCAAGCAACUCAAAGAUGCAUCUUCGUCUUCUUUGGCUUAAAACUUCAUGAUAUAUAUACACACACACACACACACAACCACAUAACCUUUAAGUAUAACUGUUAACUUUAAAAGUCUAAACCCUCCUAUGGUCAAGUGGCCCAUUUCUAAAGAGAAGAAACAAAAAAUGCUUAGACUAACAAAUUCUGUUCAUAACAGCAACAAUUACGAUUAAAAAGUACCAUCUACAGCCACAACAUUUUCCCAAUUUGAGGUUAACAGUACAUCUGUCAAAUAACGCAGAGAUCAAAUGGUUUAUCUUCAGCAUAACAAACAGCAAAAAGAAAUUCCAUUUGGUUGUCCAAUCCAUAGGCAGGCCAUAGAUAUUAACUAGGAAAAGCUCAUUAAGGGAUGUCGAACACUGGCAGUCAAAUCCCACGCAUCGAACUCUGUGAUUUUAAAUGAUCAUCUUUGCUGCACGUUCAAAAAUAGAAAAGAAAAUAAGAACUUGCAAAGUUCCAGCUUGUCAGUCUCAAAAAAGUGAUAGGUUCCAAGCGUGGAACACAUAAUUAUUAAUAUAUCAAGUACAUAAUAAUUUAUUGACAAACAAACUACAAGUAUAAAAGAUAAAUCAUGCAUAAUAUUUAACGUAAUUCGGCUCUAUCAUUGAGUCCAUGUCUAUGGAAAAAAAACUCGUUUUUUAUUACCAGAGAAAAACCUUAUAAAAGAAUACAAUUUGAACUCAAACCCAACCCUUAUAUAUCAUCUCUCAAGAACCCUCUCCAUCCUUAUGUAUAAGGUUUCUCUCCAUAGACGUCGACUAAUGCCUCCUAAACAUACAUUACUUCACCUAAUUUCAUGGGCUUCUACUCGACAUUUCUGAAAAACCAACUUCUAGAAGUGAAUGGACGUCGUGGUUGCCAUUACUUAGCAUCAGCAACCAAGUGGCACUUCUUUGUGGAUUUCUGCGAUUAGUAGUGUUUCUUGCUUUGGUUUUUGUAGUUGAGGCUUCGGGCAAACUGCCUCAUCAUUUUAUAUGCAGACCGCCAAAAAAAAUGUUACUUAUCUCCAAUUUGUGCACAAAAAAUUGUAAUGGAAUUAGAUCACUUGUAGUUGUAUUUUUUUAGAAGAAAAGAAAGUAAUGGAAUUAUAUCCAACCGCCAAAAAAAUGUAAUGGAAUUAUAUCAGGUGUAUUUGUAUUUUUUUAAUAAGAAAAGAAAGUAAUUUAUAAAAUGAUAAGCAGCUUAACAAAAAUAAUUUUAUUUGUCGUUUUAUAUGCGAACCCCCAAAAGAAAAUAUUUAAGUUACUUAUCUCCAAUUCGCACACACGGAAAAGUAAUAGAAUUAUAUCACUUGUAUUUGUAUUUUUUAUAAGAAAAGAUUUAUAAAAUGAUAAGCAGCUCAACAAAAGUAAUUUUAUUUUGUAUUAUACUAUUAGUCAAAACUUUACUCAAAGAAGAAAAAGGCUAUUAUAACAAAUUGUAAAAGUAUGAUUACUUUCAAUAUUUUCAUCACAACACUUUAAUUGGUAAGACGUUUCGCUUGUAACUUUCAUCAAGAAGGAAUUCCCUUGUGGAACUAUUAUGGGCAUGCAGCCAAGAAGGCACUGUGAACUUGAAGCUCGGGGCAGGAUUCAACAAACGGUGGUUGAGAAGGGAAAUUUGGUAGAAAAAAGAAUCAUGUCCCUGUCAAUUAUCUUCGAAUUUGAACUUGAAAAUAUAUAUAUAUAUAUAUAUAUAUAUGGGUAAAGCCAAAUUAAAACUGUUAAAUAUCAAGCCUUUCAUUCUCUAACAUUUUAUUGCUUUUUUUGGUCCCAAUCUAUAAAUUUGUGCGUUACGAAAGGAAAAGGAGUUGUUGAUGUUGCAACCUUUUUGAGUGAUUUCAUAUAUGUUUAUGUACGAACAUAAAUGAAAUCAAACUAUCAUUCCUCGCUACACAAAGCAAACCUCUCAAUGUUUCAUCUGAAUGUUAAUGUGGUUCACUGAUCUUCAGUCCACUCACAUGCAAAGAGAAACUUACAGAGAUAGAUGAGAAGCUAAAUUGUCACGUAUCAGAUAUUGCGUACGUACUAUGGUUACAUUUGGGAACAUGUGGAAUAAUGCCAUUAUCAGAUUCACAUUCGGUGCAUGGCCUUAUGUAUUUUCGUUACUGAUUACUGAAUAGCUAGCGACCAUAUGGCUUCCAUUUUGCCUUUUACUUCAGCCUCAAAAUGCUUUUUCGCUGCCAGCCAGGGCUUCCCAGUCGUCUGCAGCAUCCACCUUAUUAAUUUGAUCUCUUGACAAGAAAUAAAAGCAUUAUUGCUUCUGCCGUACAACUGAAAUCUCCAACAUAGGAUGGAAAAACACGAAAAUGCCAACAAAUUAAGAACACUCCUCUACAACAUUGAACAGAAUUAAGGACCUGCAAAACCGCAUGCUACUGUUGCGUACUAAUACUUGCACAAUAUAUAGUCCAUCAUGGAAACAAUCAACACUUGAGCUAUCAAGCAGCUAAGUACGUACCAAUAAGCAGUACAUCUCAAUGAUCUAUAAAUGUGUAGAAAUCAAUGAAUGAAUCCUGUAUCCGCUUUCAACUUAAGUGAUCAGUCAGUAUUAGCUAGAAGCAAUAAAAGGUCUCAGGAAAGGGAGUGACGAAAAUGGCAUCGGUGACCAUAGGGGCAGAUAUCCCCAGCAAGAACCAUCCGGCAAACCUCAGUCUUGUAACGAGGGUGCCUUAUCACCGGACGCAGCUCCAUGAUCCCAUGUGCGAAUCGACAGUUUCCAGCAAAAGGGCAACUUCCGGUCUCCUGCCACUUGUUACACAGCUCCGUCUUGGACAUCCCUUGGUUGUACACCUCGAACUGCGACGCCUCUUCCUCUCUCCCUCCCCCUGCUACGUACACCCUUUGCCUAGCCUUCUCCUAUUGCAAAUUAAUUACUAAUUUAUAACCAAAGAGUGAUAUAAUACAGAGUUUUUACUCUCUUAUUGUUCCACCGUCUCUUGAGUUCCAAGUCAAUGUGUCUCAAUUCUUACUAAUUAAACAAGUACUUGAUCUACGUACUAUUAAACACGCACAAAAGUGUGGCGCGCAUAAAUUCUUAAAAGUAAUUAAUAAGCCUCCACUGAGUAAUGCACAUACCUGAAACUUAGAUAGUUCCUAUAGACUUCUAUUAUACGGUAAUUAAUUAUCGCCAUAAAAAAAGUAUUCUCAUAUAAAGGGGGAAAUUUUUAAAAAAGACUCCGGAAAACCUGGCAUUUUAAGCUAGUCAGAACAGGACGUAAUAAAACAACGACAAUCGAAUACGUAAAAUAAUCUUUUUUUAUAAAGAAAUGUUCUAACCGAAUCUGGUAAGGGCGGAGAGUUAACUCGGUUUGGACUCGAGGCCUGAGUCGUCGGAGCUUCAUAUUUUCCAGCAGAUUUGGGUUUAAACUUGAGAUAGCCGGCGGAGCGAAUGGAAAUGCUCUUAGGGAGGGAGACUCGUUCGGCGAGGUGCCGUCGUUGGAAGCGGUUUUGUUGGAUGACAUCGGGACCCGGAGCGGGUGAGGCCUCGCGAGAGUAUAAGCGCGGCGAGGGAGUAUCGUUUCCACUGAUUCUGAGGCGGUUGAAGUCGGAGAGGAGGCAGUUGUGGAUGGUGGCUCGGGAGAGGAGACUGAGGCGGUGAACUAAGUCGGCAUUUGCGAGGCGGAGAGAUUCGUUGUCUUGACCGAGAGCCUGCACUUCUUUGAUGGAUUCGCGGAGGUUGGCGAGGCAAAAUGCAUAGCGGUUGUAGAGCUGCUGGUACUCGAGGAUGAGGCUGGAGUCAGAAUGGCAGCGAUCGGGGGUGACUACUUCGUCUGUCAUGGUAUCGUAGGAGGGAGGAAGAGCUCGAAAAUUGAGAGAUAAGUGCGGAGUACCGGUUUAACGGUGAUGUGGUGGCGAUGUCGGAGGAGGGCGUAUAUUUGCUUGGCGGCGGUGGUGGCCAAGGUUCCGGUGAGGAGGAUAUGCUAAUCUUUCACGAGUAGAGUAGCGUUGGGAUUGGGUAUGGGAUGUACGGGAAAACACUAUACAGCGUGAAGGAACAAGGAAGUAGUAAUAUGAUCUGGGGUUGGUUAUGAAGGAGCGAGAGGAUGCAGCAAUCACAUCCAUGGGUUUGGAAACUCCGGAUUCAUUUCAUAUGGUUGGUGAAAUUCUCUGGACAUUGCUUGGGUGGGAAGAAUUUAAACCAAACAAAAAAACAAAAGUGAGGGAAGUGGUAGUUUGGCGGGCGGGGAAUUUAGGAGAACGACGAAGAGGGGACCGGUUGCUCGCUCGCUGAGGUGGGUCCCCGACCGUUAAGGCCCCCUGAUCCUCGUCCCUACUUCCUUCCCAAUUCCCAAGUCCUAACCAUUUUUCUCACUGAAAAUGAAUAAAGAAGUUUCUCUUCCUAUCUACUGAGUUAACUUUCUUCUUUUUCUUUUUUUUUUUGUCGACACAUGAGUGUUCGGAUGAAUUCUUACAGGAUCUGAUUAAUUUCCUGCGGCUCGGGUUCGGCGGCCCAACCCGACACAAGCACGAUAAGUGCGCGGAGAAAUUCAGCUGAGCAGAGACUCGAUCUUGAGACCAAGUGAUCACCAGGGGGAGGGGCUACUGUUGGACCAUUCACACGGAGUUAUCUACUGAGUUAACACUUAGUGCUUUUAGCCUCUUCUGACCAUUUUUUUUUUCCAAAAAAAAAAAUCUUUCAAAAGAAAAAAAAAUUAAGUGGAUUUGGAUUAUUUGAUACAGUGUAAUAUUUGUCUGGAAACAGGCAAUUAAGUGGAUUACAUCAGAAUUCCGAUUAUGUGUUAUGUGCAUGAAUAAUUGUUCGAUAUAGAUUGCUUAAGAUGAAAGAAUGAGAAGGUGGAGGAGGAGGAGGAGGAGGGUGGUGUGAUAUGCAAGAAUCCACUACUAUGUAUAAUGUAUGUCUGUGAAGUGGAAUCAUGAUGAUGAGUUGGAUUAAGAAUAACUUAACUAAUGGUUUCAUGGGAAAUAAGUAAUUAAUAAAGUCUCUCUAAUCAUUUCAGCAGAGAGCCGUUGCUUCCUUACCACAUCUUUAACUAACUCACUCCCUCACUCGAGGCUAGGGCUGCAAACGAGUCGAGCCGAGUCGAGGUUUGAGCUAAUCGAGCCGAGCCUUAGCUAAAUUUUAUCAAGCUCGAGCUCGAGCUCGAGCUCGACGAGCUGGCAAUUUUCGAGCUCGAGCUCGACUCGAAUCAAGUCGAGCCGAGCUCGAGCUCGAAAAAAAUAAAAAAAAAUUAUUUUAUUUUUUAAAAAAAUAAAUAAAAUAAUAUUUUUUCUGAAUAAAUAAUAAAAUAUUAAGGAUAUAUCCGUAAUUUCACUAUGAAAAUAAAAAAUAAAAAAUAUAUAUAUAUAAUAUACGUAAUUUUAUUAUUAAAUAAAAAUAAAAAUAAAAAAAAAUAUAUAUAUAUAUUCAAGCUCGCGAGCCGGCUCGCGAGCUAACGAGCUUAAUAUUUUGAGCUCGAGUUCGAGCUCGAGUUUGACUCGAGCUGGCUCGAGCUCGACUCGAGCUCGAUUAAUGUCGAGCUCGACUCGAGCUUGACUCGAGCCGCUCGCGAGCUCGAUUCGUUUGCAGCCCUACUCGAGGCUAGCCGUGCAGCCUUGUUCCACUGUUCACAAUUUCAUCCCACGGAUUUAAUAUUGAUCCUAAUUAAGGGGCAUCAGGCAACCAGUUUUGAAAACUGAAUCGAUGGGAGUCCUGUACACCAGCCUACUACCUACCUUAUCAAUCAUUCUGAUGCGUCCUAACUAACAAAAGGUUAUUUCGAUGCUAAUCAUGACUAACUAACAAGAUUCUUGCUGUGUGUGGAGAUCGUAAUUUCCAAAGUUUGAUGGCGAGAUCAAAUCCCCUCUGAUAAACAUUUAGAUUCUUCUAUCACUUUACAACUGUAUGUAAUUAAUUGGCACUCUUUAUGAUUUUGAUUGCAGUCAGGCAAAUUAAGGAACAUCACAUCCUACAGCCACUAUAUGAGAAUGCCCGCUGCCGGCAAAUGCAUUUGAUCCAUCAUUGGAUGCAUGCAUGGCGUAAUUAAUUAAGCCAAGCAUCCUUUUAAUCAACUUCUUCAUGGUGAGCAUCCUUGGAAGUUCUCUACUACUGAUCGAUCGAUGAUGGUUUAUUAAAAUUUCACCGCUUGGUUACUACUUUAUUCGAUCAUUUGUUAAUUAUUAUGAUAUAGAAAUUAGCAUCGAGUUGGCGGCGCGGGGGUUUAGAAGCUGCAGACCGACACUGGGGAGAGAAUCUGCAUGUACAGGACGAGACCUCAGUGGAGUGGAGGAAGGUGACUGAACACUAUUCUCCGACGUGGGCUGCAUCAGUCUGCUGCGCUUUGUCAGUCCUACACGUGGCUAUGUUGAUGGUCUAGCCCAAUAAAAUCCAAGAACGGCCCAAUCAAAAUUUUGGUCAAGACUGACAAGAUUAUAUAGACUCUACCGAACAAAUUUUUGGGCACAAAUUUUAAUGAGAGGGAAAAUUUUUAGUAUUAUUUCACCUUAUUUUGUGAAUGUUUACAUCUACUAUUAUAUUAGUGUCUGCAUCUAUUGUACCUGUGUCCACAAAAAAACACUAUAAUAUAAUAUGUCAUCACGACUAAUAACAGCACAUCUUAUGACAAUUUGUUUAGCGAAAGGUCAAAAUACUUAAAAGAUAUGUAGAGCUCAACAGCUAGGUUUGCGACUAUACCAUUUUCAGCUUAUGCAUGAUUUAGGGUAAAACUAUUUCUAUGCCACUCUGUGCCUUGAUUAUUAAUAGGAGGGCUAUCGUUCCGCACCACCCUUAAAGAUGUACAUUUAACUUUUUUUGAAGCUAAGCAAGUCAAAUUUUCUUUAUUAGGCGGUCUUGCCCCCAUAAAUUAAAGAAUAAAUUUGUUUAAUUGUUUUUUAAUAGGUUGGACAUUAAAAACAGUUGAUAACCAAGCUUGACUCGAUUGGUUAGGCAGCUUUAGCUGUCGCAUAAACAUUUAAACUGAAAUAAUUAGGAGUACAUAAAUAACAAUAACCAAAGAAAGUGCUAGUUUUCAAUAGGGCUGAACAUACUCGAAAAUAAGAAAGAGUUGAGGAAGUAUAGGAGCAUCCUGAAGUUGUCAGGAGUUUGAACCUUACCUGCAGUGAAAAAAUUUCAAAAGAGGUGCCAGAAACACCUCUUUGAUCUAGUAGAUUUUUAUACUUAUUAGACCCUUAUACAUACUAUCUUUAGGCUCCUCUCCCCUAGAUUAGGUUAUAGAAAUGCUAUCAUUGCUGUAUUAAAAAAAGGGGCUCUUGUCAAAGAAGCUAAACACUAGUGGUAUUUAUUUAGACCACAAGGACAUGUCUGAAACUUGAUACUAUUAAAGAAACCAAAAAAAAAAUGUGUGGAGGAGAAUUUACCCAAUUUAGUUGUCUAACGUAUCGUUUCAAGCUAAGCAAAAGCGCAAAUUAAAUAGCUUUCAUAUAGGCAUCUGGAUAUCGAGAUGGUUGUAAGUAGUUGUACGUUGUAUUCAAAGAGACGUUUGUGGUUUUCAUUUACUAUAUAAAUUAUAACCCGUUUCCCCUUCUUAAAAGCUAGGCACGUUCUCUUGUUUACUGGUUGCAACGUCUGAAAAUGUCCUAAAGGGUUGGGCAGUAGCUAGAGCUUAAUUAGAGCACUAAAAUGGCGGUUAGAUAUUUGAAAACAAAUACAGCAAAACUCAAAAGUAGAAAAGUGUUUUUUAAGAAAAAUAAGAAGGAAAGAAGUUGGCCCAAAUUGGUUCCACCUAAUUACAAAUUGCAUGAAAUGAGACCUAUAAAACAAAGCUCGGUAUUAAUUUUUCUUUUUUUCUUAUCCUAAUUCCUAUGUAUCCUUGCAAUACCACAAUGGGAGGUUGUACAGUCGAUUAAUUGAAUAAUGUGACAUUUCCUGAUCGGGGGGAUAAUCAAUCCCUUUCAAAGGAAGGACAGCCAUUGGAAGUUGGGAUUACUGAAACGCUAAAAUAUCAGUACAUAGCAAAAUGGAAUAAGAAAUCUCUGCAAAAAUUAUAACUCUGCUCUUUAAAGAAAAUAAACCUCAUUGGUCUAUAUUAAAAUUCACAUUCAGAGACAAUUCGUGCGCUUUGUACAUAGAGAAGCUGAAUAUCAAAUUUCACCCACGUUUAGGAAGACAAAAUUAAAGAUGAAAAUCUAGGCCAGUAGCCCUACCUGGAAUCCAUCUCCAUGGAAACCGCUAGAGAUUUGUAUAUCUCAUAAAUAAGCCUAUUUUCGAACUCGCUAUUUUUAUAAGUUACAGGAACCGGGCGAGCCUCUGGGAUCCUCUUUCCGGCAAAAUCAUUUCCACUGUUCAUUGCCCCGACGUUGCCAGCCAACCUAAGCAUCAUGUUCAUAUAGGCGUUCUUGAACUUGGUCCAGAGCUUCAGCGGGGAAGCAAAUUUGAGGCGCAACUUUGGAAUUGCUCUGAUCUUCCAUGCCCUCUUCUCUCUGUGCCCUCCAAACUUCACAAUCUUUACACUCCUUCUCGAGCCGUUUAUUCGGUGAUAGGUCUUUCCUCUUCUCCAUUGCCUCUUCAGGCUUCCGUUAAAUGGAUUAGCAAGCAACUUCAUCUUUUUCAGUUGUAUGUGGAUUGGAAACACUAGGGAAGGGAAGGGAAGGUUUGAUUGGUAACUGGGGGGAGGGCUUUUUUAUAUCAUAGGGAUGGGAAUGAAAGAAAGGCUGAUGGUAUUUAUAUGAAAACAAAAGGAAUCUUUUGAGUUGGCGAGGCCUGUUUCUUGGUAGCAAGCGGCGCGGGGAUGGUUUUCUUUUAUUAUGCGACGAUACAUCCUCCUGAGUCCUCCUGCCCUCGGCAACCCGCUGAAAGUAGUUGGUAAGCGUAAGCGGCCGGUCAACAAAGUCGGUUUUAACAUUUAUUGGUUUUCUGAAGUUUUUUAAGCGCUUAAGAUGAUGGAGUUGCGUGUUUGUCUUUUAAGUGCGGAGCAUGGAAUUCUUCAUUAGACGCCCAUUAAAAGUAAACCUUUGACGGAGAUUAUCAGGAUCUUCUCUGCUUCAAACGGACGUAAAGACUGGAGACUGGGAAAAAAGAAUUCGUUUCGAUAUGAGAAUUUGACUUCCAUAAUCGCUUAGCUCAUGAUUCCUUUCAUCAUUAAAAUUAAGUUUAAAAAUAAUGAUGAUAUGAUGCACUAAGAAAUAGGCCAUUCCUUUCUACUUUUCUUUUUACCCUCUUGUGAUAUCAUGUCCUGUGCUGCAGAAAGAGAUUAUUAUACCACUCCUACUACGUUACGAGUCUUGAGACAGUAGUAUCAGCAUUAACCAGCACGUAAUCCCGUGCCAAAAAAAAGUAUACCCUUCUUCUUCAUUGGUCUAUAUUUGCGGUCUCAUUAGAUACUAGUACUAAUUCAUAUAUAUGCUCCCAAGUAUAUAUGUUCUAGUACUAAUUCAUAUGCUCCUCUCAAUGGCUGCUGCUGCUUCUUUUUUUUGGUCUGCCCAAUCGUAUCAAAUGCGACCUUUAAUUAGUUUCCAAAAGAUGAAUAAAUUAUUACUUAAAAAACACAAUCAAUUAUCAUGCAUGGCCAAUAAAAGGAGAUCCCUGUAUUUGGCGGAUGCUUAAGAAAAAUCUUGCUUGCUUACUCUUUGAUUAAUUGUUGAACGGGAAUAGAAGUAUGUUUUCUACGAAACACUACUGAUAAUAGACAAAUCAGCAGCAACGAAGAACAUGGAGAACGACAAAAGAAUGUUCGUCCUGUUUUCUGAAUUGUAAUUGUAAAACAAGGGCCGGCCUGGCCUGCAGUAUACUUACUUAAGACGCAUCUCUUCUCAAUUUUCUUGCUCUCUCUGUAAUUUGAAAUAGUCCAUGCAAUUGUUAAUGAAUCAAGAAAGCUCUGUUAAUUAACUCGAGAUAACUACUGGAACAAGUCUCAUCCGCGUUUCAGGCUCUUCUUGUCCAAUUUUACUACUUGGAACUUUCUAACCAAAAAAAAAAAGGGAGAUAAGAAUAAUGAUCGGGUGAUCGGUUUCUCGCCACCUUUAAUAGAUUACACGAUAUCUGAUGGUAAAAACAUGUUAGUUUUUGCUAAUGAAGGUAUCGAGAUCAUGGAAUCAAGAACAAUCGAUCGGCUGUCUUUUUUCUUUUCGUACGUGCAAACUCUCCUGCUGAUUAUGUAACAUAAUAAUAGUGUAUAACAAGACUCGAUCGGUAGUAGCAGUCGACAUAUAUAGGGAUUGAUUAAUGUCUUUCCUAAUUAAAUCAGGCCUUGGACCUUCGCAUGGCAUAUGGCUUGUAAAAGUUCAUCCAAUUUGUUUGACACUUUAAUUAAUGUUAAAAAAAAAAACUGAUAAAUUAAGCACCAACCAACCAAAUAUUACUAAAGUCACUCAGGCCUACGAUAGUUUCAAUGGAAGUCUGAAAAGACUUUCAACAACCUUCAAGAACACGCAAAAACCAACAUGUACGUGGUAUGCAACUCAUCUUCUCCUUCUCAACAUUUUCUCUUUAAAAAAAUUUAAAAAAUAAAAAAAUAAAAGGUUGCAUUCGUGUUAAGCAACAGGUAGACUACUGUGACGCAGAAUAAAUUGUGCGCUCGGGAUCCGGUAGAAUACGCGAUUUCGUUCGUGACUAUAUAUAGAGGAUCAAAUUGGACCGCAGUCAACGUGAUAUUAUUCAAAUCAAUUGCUAAAUUUUUUCGGGGAAAAAAGAAUUGAAAUUUUAAAUUAGCUGUCCAAAUGAAACUAUUAUAGUCCUUAAUUAAUAGUAAAGAAUCAACUCCGAUCCCUUAGGUAAAUGGUCUAUGAUACUCGAUAUUGACCUGUGACUUGCAGCAAAAUGAAGAGGACACUCGUGGCAUGAAGUCGUUCGACAUUUCUGAAAUUAAAUCAGUAAUUAAUGUAUACUACAUUUUUUUUUCCAAAAAAUAAAAAAAAUUUAACAGUAAAAUGGUGAAUUUUUUUUUUAAAAAAAGGAGAUAGGCACUCAGAACACGUGACCUCUAAACCUUAAAGUUUCAACUUCGGCAACCGGACAUCGAGAUUUCUGUUCUGUAUAAUAAAGUAGAAAUAUUACUGUACUACAGAUGGCACGGUGGUGGCGUCAUGUAUGAUGUUUAGCACAUAAAUCUGUGUCUGAAAUUUCAUCAUUUCAUCAUUACUGUGGUGGUGUCAUGUAUUUUGUGUUACAUAAAUCUUGUUUGGAAUUUCAUAAUUACACGUUUGUCUCGUUUCAUUACUACUUUGUCAAACACUAUACUGUAUCAUACUCCCUCCCUUUUUUCAUUACUGACGUUUAAGGUUUUGCGCACCAAUUAAGAAAAAUUUUUUAUUGCUUAAAUAUGUACACUACUUUCCUUUUGUACCCUCAUUAAUUGUCCAAUGAUGGGCAGAUAAUACGGAGGGGCAGAUAAUUACUAGGGUUGUUACAAGGAGAGAAGCAAUAAUUACUAGGAGUAGUAAUUAAGAACCCUGUAUUGGAAAAGAGAGAUAAAAGGGUAAAAUUGUAAAAAAAUAAUUAAUACUGUAUGAGAAUUAUAAAACGACAGAUAAAAGUACACUGGAGCAAAUUUCUUAAAUGUCAGUUAUAAAAAAAAGGGAAGGAGUAGUAUGUAAUGAGGAUUCGUUGUUGUUACUUGUUAUGUACCAUGCAUGCGAAACAUGCAGCUAAUAAAUAUUGAGGAUAGAGUAGAGAUCGAGAAAAUGAGAAGGUUAGUUGCCGGUUGGGCGUAAAUUGUUGAAAUUUAUUAGCCGCUACCACCACAACGACUCAAUGUCCCUCCCUGGCAUGGUUUUCGUCAUUUUUCGGCUGAGCUAGAGACUUUUCAUCCGCUCCGAAAAUGACUCCGAUAAUAAUAAGUUUUACUACCGGCCACCCCACCUGCAAAUAAUAAACCCUGUUCUCUCGCAUUAAUUUGUCACUAAAUGUGGCUGGCGCGUCACUUCAAGUGGCUAUCGGACUAGUGCGUGUAGUGCACUCGCCUAAACAGAUUGGUGAUUCAAUCUUCUCUGAUUUUUCUUCAGGUCCCCUCCUCUAUAAUAUGGAAUGUACGUAGGUCUGUCUAUCGUAUUUGGCAAAAAAAAAAAAAAAAAAAAUGUCGCGCAUUAAUUUUGCGCUUUCCAACCAAAAAACUGAAGACUAAUUUCUUAGGACUUAGGAGCGUGGGUAGAAUGCAGGCUUUAUCCCGACCCAAAAUGUUGAAGCCCAAAAAUCUAUUGCGGUGCAAUUGUAGACAAACUUCCGAGCCCAUUUUCACAAUGACCUUUGUGCUGUGGACCGAAAGAGGGACAAAAAGAAAUCAAAGCGACCUUACUUUCUUCGCAUAUUCUACCCAGCUUGAACCUCACCACUACCAGGAAUGGAUGGCGAAAAGCUCUUCUUCAAUGGCUUACAAGAGGCAAACAGCAGUUCCUUCUGGAAAGUUAAGGGAAUCGGUGGCAAAAACGGAAAGCACGAUGACAAGCGAUUAUCGAUGGCAGACUUCCUCCACGAAAGUGGGCGUCAGGUAGAGGAAGCGUGGGAGGUGGGUCCAGUAGCUGGCUUUGGAGUCGGUUGUGGUGUUGGGGUGGGAAUGGGAAUGGUGGGAGGGGUGGGCGUUGGUAAUGGUGGGUCGAUGUGGAACUACCUCAGAACGGUGUUCGGGUUUGGAAUUGGGUGCGGCGUUGGAUUUGGUGUUGGGUAUGGACAGGGGAUUGGAUUUGGCCGCACACUGCAAUCGCUAAGAUCUCAGCUUUUCCAGCCUAAGAGGAAGUCCAAGAGACCAAUCCUUGUUCUGAUUUGAUUUCCUGUAUUGUCGCCUGGAUUCUGUUUGUUUCUUGUUUCCUGUCAAGACAAGUAGAAUUUGAAUUUCUGCUGUUCUUUUGUUUGACAAAACAUCAGUGUCGACGAACCCGGAUGGUGUGAUUUUGGCUAAUAGCAUUUUCUUUUUCCCCUGCCAAUCUUCGGCAUUUGUAGGCAGUUUUACUGCCGAAGUCUUGACCGUGGUGGUGGUGGACGCACUUUAACUCAUCCUUUUAUGACUAUGAAUUUACGCCUGAAUCUGGAUUGUAGACAACAACCCUUUCAUGAUAAGGUUGCGUGAACACCAGCCUUUCUUUCUUGUUCUACGGCCAUGACGACCGGUCACGACUACAACAAUCCUAUCAUUUGAUGAUCUUGAAAAACGAAUUUAGCAUAUUCAGAUGUGGACAAGGAGGCCUUCUAGGUAAAAGUUCAAACAUGCAUUCGUCGAUAUUACAUGCAUUCUGAUUCCUUUGGCAACAAGCUCCAACUGAUAAAAUACCGGUGGCACGACUAAAGAGUUUGGCCAUAAUCACGUUAAUCUCAAAUUACCAAAACGAGCAGCAGUAAUCAGGUAGUAAUUGCUUCAGCACUCCACUCCAUCUGAUAUUGACGUGUUAUUUAUCAGCCAAAUCAUCACAUUAACAGAAUGAUUUGUGACUAGAAGUUCUGAAUAAAUUACUAGCUGACGAACUUCCAUAGAACAUCAAACUGCACCCCACCCCCGGGGGCGGGGGAAUCAAUCACUAGUUUCUUCAACAUGUUACCACCAGUAUAUGAUUGCUCUAUGGAAAGGGGUCUCGUGGCCAGCUUGCAGAAAAAUGUGGAAGUAAACACCACAACAGCCCGGUCGGCCAAUUCAGGCCCUAGAGACUCGUUAUGCUGUCCCUCUGAAACAAGUGCCUUCAGCAACUAAACUUUCCCAAGGACGGCUCAAGAGUUCUUUUGUUCAGCCAGAUAGACCAAUGUGGCACUAUCAGUAUUUUUAAUCAGUUCAAUUAUUUGCAUGUACAUUUAACUCUUCUACAUCAAAAAUCCUUUCCUUUCUUAAGGUCUAACAGCAACGGAAGCAGCCCCAACUCCUAAUCCAAGUAAAACAUCCUAUAAAACGCCCUAUCUAGAAGCUAAAAACUGCCACAACCAACACAACACAGAACAUAGAAUGGCUCUAUCAGAAAGCAAAUCCAUCAAGCACACAAAAUACAUAAACAAUUCAGCAAGCAACAAAAAACUGUUCCAAUGCUAGAAUUCUCAUUGCAGAAGCCAUUUAAUACACUGCUGCAGACAGUGUGACCAUCAAUUGCAAGGAAUAAAAGCUUUUGAAGACAGAAAAGAAGAACAUAGAAUGGAUGAAGGUUGGCCUCUAUAUCCUGUCACUCACAUUAAGACUGAUGUGUAAACCCUGCAAACUACCGAUGUUACGUAAACCAGAAACAACUACAAACCAUCCUUCCCUUAUAACAGAGUAAACUAUUGAAUCUAGCAAACUUAGCACUCAAAUACCAGUCCGUCAAAUCAAGAUUUGAAGUAAUAUGUUUUCUAAAAUCACAAAGCAUCAACCACAAACAAAGCCAAUUUCACAAAGUGUUUUCUUCAAUGAUCCAUAAUCAACAUUCCUACACACACACACACACACACACACACACACACAUAUAUAUGAGAAAAAGAUACACCAACACACAGGAUUUUGGGAGGAUUAUAUAGUUCCUAAAGUCCACAAACAGGGAGGGCUAACAACAACACAAGGACGGUAGGAGAUGUCCUAAAUUAGUGGUAGCAAAUCAUGAGAAAACCUCAAGUUACAAAAGUUGCAGAAAAAGCUUCAAUUCAUAACACUCCAAAGAAACCUUAAACCUUGCAAUACUGGCUAGAAUGAUUACAUGUGUUAAUACAAUGGUUGACACCAAACUAAUUCACUGUACAUAUCGAACCUGUGAAAUCUAGUAAAAGCCAACAAAGUUUCUUUGUUUACCAAACAUUUCAACUAGGUACCAUACAAUUAUACUGGUAAAAAAUCUCUUCCGUCUAAGCUACUCACAGAUCUCCAUUUCCACCCAACACCAUUCAACAUUCCUACAAAUAAUCUUACCUUCGCAACAAACCUAAACAACUAGAAGUAAAUGUGCAAUUACUAUCAAAAGCAACCUAAACAACUAGAAGUAAAGACUACUAUGCAGCACGCAAAGCAAAUUCUAAUACUUGGGAAAGGGAAAUUACGUUAAUCGUGAAAUACUCAUUGUAUCUUCUGGUUAAAUCCUGCUAUAGAAACGAAAUAGUACAAAAUUGACAACAAACGCAUCCCAAUUUAAUAAAAACACUCUUUCCAUUGAUGAAAGACAACAAUGCUGAAAAUACAAAAUUCAAAAAUUUAAGGCACCAAAAAAGAGAAACAAUCGCUUUUAAUCGAUGUUUUGAAGAGAGGGUGCAGCAGCAGCAGCGACGUCAUCCACAGUGAAUUUCCCCUUAGCCUUGUCAGCAGCCCUCCCCUUAGCUUUCCUGUCCAGCAAAUCCUUACGGUCCUUAUCCAGCUUAAGCUUGGUCACCACAACAUUGGAGGGGUGGAUUCCGACGUUGACCGUAGACCCGUUGACUUUCUCCCGGGUAAUCCGCUCGAUGUGGAUGACCCAUUUCUUUCUGUAUACUUGGACGACUUUGCCCUCCCGGCCUUUAUAGGUGCCACGGACGACUUGGACUUCGUCGUCCUUGCGGACGGGGAUGGAGCGGACGUUGUACUUGUUGCGGAGAUCGGCUGAGAGAGCCGCGCUCAUGAUCACUCGGCGCACGCUUGAGGGAGCAGUGAAGUGGGCCUUCCGGCUCUUCCGGCGUGAGCUGGAGACUCUUGGGUUGUACUUCAUUUCCGGCGGGGAUGGCGGAAGUGAUGGGGGGGGGGUUGGGGAGAUGGGGAGAAGGGCGUCGUACGAGGAUGUGGGGAUAGUUGUGAGAAAAGCGGAAGCGGGGAAGUUGGGAAGGUAAAGGACGGUUUAGGGUUUCUGAAUGAUUUGACGAUAGUGGGCUUGAGACUGGAGCGAUGGUCCACGGACGAGUGGUACUACAAGUUGCUAAUUGCCAAAGGGGUAUUUCCGAACUUUUGAGAAAUAGAGAGUUUUUCAAAUUUUGAAGACUUGAGGCUGGUACUUUCACCUUCAACUCUACUAAUCUACUUAGGUUCCGUUUGAUAACAUUGAAUCUGAAUUCUGAAUUCUAAAAUAAUUAAUUUGUUAAAUUUUAAACACUGGAAAGAGAUAUAUGAAUGUCUGAAUCUUAAUGCUGAAUCUAUUUAUACUGUUUGAUAAAUAUUCAUAACUUAAUGCUUAAUAAGCUAAAUUGUACAAUUUUGCCCUUCUAUCUUUUAAUCCAAAAAGGAAAUAGAACCUAUGAUUUAAUUAGCUUAAAAUUGUUAUGUAUAAAAAAGACAAUAUUUAUUUUUAAAUCAAAUUAAUAUAAAAGAAGAAAUAUAUUAUGCAAAACAUUAAAAGAAACAUUACAAUCCAAUAAUUCAUAUAACAUAUAAAUUCGACCUAAAAAAUAUAGAAAUGAUUGUUUGAAUAGAGAAUAUCAUAUUGUUUUGUUUAAUUAGAUAAGGAUUUUGAAUAGAGAAUAUUAGAUUGUUUAAUUAGAUAAGAAUUUUGAAUGUAAUUAACAAACAGGGAUAAAUUUGGUAGAUAAGAUAAAGUAAUUGAAGUAAAUCUCUUGAUUCUUAUCAAAUUAAGCAUUCAGUUACGAUUCUUGUGCUGAAAAAAAUACAUACAAAUUCAGCACCAUUUAAUAAGUUCAGUAGGUGAAUUUUUAUUUAUCAAACACCCAAAACCUCUUAAUGUCUGAAUGAAUUCAGUUUCAGCACUUUUUUAUGUUAUCAAACAGGCACUUAGUGUGGACUAGGGUUGCAAACGAGCCGAGUCGAGUCGAGUUUUGAGCUAAUCGAGCCAAGUCUCGACUAAAUUUUACCAAGCUCGAGCUCGACGAGCCGGCAAAUUUCGAGCUCGAGCUCGAGCUCGAAAAAAAAUAAAAAAUAAUUAUUUUAUUUUAAAAUAAAUAAAUAAAAUAAUAUUUUUUUCUUAAUAAAUAAUAAAAUAUUAAGGAUAUAUACGUAAUUUUACUAUGAAAAUAAAAAAUAAAAAAAUAUAUAUAUAAUAUACGUAAUUUUAUUAUUAAAUAAAAAUAAAAAUAAAUAAAUAUAUAUAUAUAUAUAUAUCCAAACUCGUGAACCCGCUCGCGAGCUAACGAGUUUAAUAUUUUGAACUCGAGUUCGAGCUCAAGUUUAACUCGAGCCGCUCGCGAGCGGCUCGAUUCAUUUGCAGCCCUAGUGUGGACUUGUUUUCUAAUGAUUAUUUUAAUCAAUUAUAGAAUCUGAUUCAAUCUCAACUCUCCUUUGUGAAAUUGUGAACUUGUUUUUGAUUGAUUAUUCUAGCUAACUGAUUCAACUUCAAUAAUUGUGAAUUUGACUCCAUUAAUUAUUGUUAAAGUCUGAUUUUGAAAAUUUAUUUUAACUCUUAUUUUACAUAAUCAAUUUUUGUGAUAUUUUCCAUCGAUUGCUUUUGUAUUAUUUUAAUUAUAAAUUUCUUAAUCACUAAAAAAAGUUAAAAUUCAUAAUCAUUUAAAGAGUAACUUUUGUUGAUUCCCUCCAUAAUAAUCAUAUUUUACACAAUAUAAAAAAGCAACCGCGAAAAAGACCGCAAAGGUUACAACUUUGACGGACAACUCGUACCAACUCAAAACGUACAACUUGCAAAGCCUCUCCAAAUUAGGCAUUUUGAUUGAUGAACGAAUACUCUGCCACUGCCAGACUCCUGAAGCGCAUCUACUGAUACCCUGAGAUGCUCACCCCUCCAUGUUCCUCAUGUCAUGCAAAGGUUGGAAACAUUUAUAUUGGGAAUCAUUAAAAAAAAAUCCAACCGUGAAUUCAAGGUGGAAAGUGGGAAAAUUUCUCCACACACAUGAUUGUAUCAACUCCUCCAGCUUUAAAACCAGUAAGCAAGAAAAUUUUCAACCUAAUAACUACAGAGAAAAUGCUCAAGUCUCUCUCCGACCAGAUUCUAGAUCUUCAACUGCUGUGCCAGGAUCAACAGUCGAAGACAUUUCCAUGGAUGCAUUGUUGCUUUCAUUUUGGUGGUUUUCAUCUUGAGCUUCUGCAUUCAGAGCAUCGGUUGGUUGCAUGCUGGCAUGUAUUUCCUCCUGAACCCUAAAGUAGGCGUACGUCCCCCAACCUACAGCAACAGAUUAACAGGCGCUGGGGUAAAUCUGCACUAAGUCAUCAUAUCGACGCCAAUCUUCUUCAAAAACAGCCUAGCAUACUACCAAAAAAAAAAAAAAGCCCUCAUACACCCGAUCUGAUUAUUAUAUACAUUGGAAUCCCAUUAACUUAACAUGAAACUCCAAUUACAGUAAGGAGAUCAGUUACCAUCAUUUGAAAAGGAAAUAGCAGCUUACCGUCCACAUGAUAUGGGGGUGGGAAGAACUGCAAGUAGCAGAACAUGGCCACUAUGAGACCUGUUAAAAACCACAGCCUUAGAAAGUACAGUGUCCAAGUUUUCCAAUUAAAGACAAAUAUAUCACGACAAACCAACCUAUGAGACCUCCAGCAAACACAUCCUGCCAGUGGUGCCUAUAGUCAUCUACCCUUGAAAUGGCAACAAGAGAUGCAACAAGCAGGGGAAGGAAAACAAUGCAAAGCUUUGCAACGUGGCCUCUACGGUCAAAUGCUUGAAUUUUCCCAGACAAGUACAGUGAUAAGAAACCCAGACCAGCAAAUGACCCUACAGAUGUCCCAAGUCAUGACUGAGUCAACAUAGACAACAACUUAAGAACACAGCUUGACCUCGUGUUGAUUUCAAACCUCUCCUGCCCCUUCAUAAUAUCUCACAUAAUUUGACGAACAUAUGAAGAACUCAUUGCUUAGGAUGAUAAGAAAAAUCAAGCAAGGUAGAUAUGAGUUAUAGACAGGCUAUACGCAUGAACAUGUUUUUGCUUGUUAUUUUAGAUUUCAAAAAAGAUGGGAUUAUACUCACAAGAAGUAUGCCCACUUGGAAAGCUUUUGCGUCCAUCCUUAAGAAUAUGUUUCUGCCCGUGGCAUUCUACAUUUCCCCACUGAUCAUAAACCUAAAAGGCAACACAAAUAUCAACAUUAGACUAAUGAAAACUGACUUCAAGAAAUAACUGAAUACCACUGGCUACUUCUCAUUAAAGAUAUGGAAAACCAAGUCCAACAGCUGUGUACAUCUUUUCCAUCUGGAAAACAACGCCAAAAGAAGUCUGGUCGAGGGCGGCCAACAGCAUCUUUUAUGGCAUCUGUUAUGACUCCAGUUAUCAGAACAGAGAAUAAGAGCCCUGCACUUGCCAGCAACAUAAGAUGUAACAGUCUGGGAGGUAAUUUCACUGGAAUCAGAGUACUUUCGAUUGUACAGCACAAUGCUUAAAACAUUUAUUACCCAGAAUGGCGUGAUGAAGAUCAUAGACAUCUGGUCUACGCAAAUAGAAGAGUAGAAAGACGACCAUUGGCAAGAGGAUGGCAUACACCUACUUGGUUUUAAAGGAAAAUUGAAAGGAUAAUAAGACACAUAACCAACUCAUGAACUCAUAGACGGUAGUACAGAUUCACUUAGAUAAUGAUGACUGAACUUACUGGCACAGCCCAUACAGGAACAGUGUUCUCUUUCAUUGGAUACUUGAGAUCUGCCAUCAUAUCUUUCCCAACAUAGCGGUAAAAAGGAUUGAUGACAUUGAGAAUGACUACUAUUGCUGCAAGAAGCAUCAGUAUGAGCCAGUCAUGCAUAUGUUUUCUAGCCAAUGUAACCCCAUGAGUUCUCACAGUAUGUGCUCCAAGCUGGGCCUCUCUCAUUCUACUCUGCUAAAUAUCAACACAUGGGCACAGCAGACUAACAGAAUUGUCAGAUUAUUCUGAAGGAAUCCACAAAAGUGCACAAAGCAGCUAAGAUUGAUACUGGCUGAAAAUUCACAGGAAAAAUGAUAAAAUCACGACAAAAAUAACUUAUUGCAACCAAAUACAAGAUAUAUGAUCCAUUGAUCUGAUCCGACUAAGGUGAACCUAAAUGCCCAACAAAGAUCAUUUCCAAGCACAAGGAAAAAGGGUUAAAGAAUUCAACAUGGUUAAGAGCUCGAAAAACAGCAAUUUAUUUUCAUUCUCCAACUCCCAGAUAUACUUUUCCAACAUUUUAUAUGCUUAAAAAACACAUCAUUGUGUUCACUUCAAUAAGCUCAAACCUCUUUUUUCCCCCUAAAAAGUAAUAAGCACGGAGUUAGAGAGGGGCAUAACAAAGUAAAAUUUGUGAAUAGAUUGGACAAUUUAUAAAGCAAUUGCACCUGGUGGUUCUGGUAUCUUAUCAAUGGCUGGUAGAGGUGUGAAAACCAGUCCCCUCUGAAUGGAAAAUUUCCCCACUCUGGUCUUAGAAUGCCCUAGAUAAAUGAGAAAUCAGUUAAGCACAGACACAGCAUGAUGGACAGAAAGUACUACAAGAAUUUAUUGAGUCUAUCUUACACAACUAAAUACAUGAACCCUUGAAAGUUAAGACAAUUGAUUCUGAAGUCAAAAACAAGUCUCCCAGCAUCCAUACUAGCUAGGUAUUUUAGUAUAAGAUAUGAGGUGGUUGUCUGGUGAAACAUGCAAAUAGGUGCUAGCCUAUCACCAUUGUUCAAGAUACAAGUCAGCAUUCUACCAUCUAUGAAACUAAAACUGCAUUCGAUGCCAGAGUGGGCCAUUAUCUUGCACUUCCUGAAGGUUGGCUCUCCAUAUUGUUGCAUUGAGGCCGGUAACCUCGUAUCAUUUGGCAUCAAUUGACUAGCUAUUUCAUGUACAUUGUACAUCCAACACAGAUACCUUGAGACAUGUAAUACCAUCACUAUGUUUACAGUACAGGGCAACAAUAUUCUUGAGUCUUGACAUAGGGAUCCUUCCUCUCCCCAUUACCCAGCUGGGUUGCUGUGCCAUAUUGCCCUCCAUCCCUGCCCCCCCAUCUAAAGAACAUCUCUCUCCCCCCACCCCCUUAUAUAAGUACCUAAAUAAUAACCUGUCUCCUCCACCUAUAACGACCAUGAGAUUCUCAUGUAAUUAUGUGAUACUAAUGAAUGUCGGAAACAACAAAGAUUAGACUGUUCUAGAAAUCACAAGUCCGAGGUUGGUAAUCAUAAAAUAAUUCUACAUUUAUACAUUUGUAAAACCUGAAAACCUCAACAAUCUGCAGUCUCUUAUGCAUAACUUGCAAAUGAGAGACGCAUUAGAUAAAGAGAUACAUAUAAUCUGACUUCAACUAGUGAUGAAUUAGCGUUGGAAAUAAGAAUGUAAUGAUAACUCAGUAAAAGGCUAAUCUUUCCCUAGCUUUACCAUUCAGAUAUUAAAAAGGUCAUGCAAUAUCCAUAACUUAUAAAAGAGAACAAUCUCGGUAAAUAUCUUUCUGACACACACAAGACAAUGCCCUGUAAUUAAUGACCAGAGAAAGAAGAAAAAGAACAAUUAAAGAAAAUUAAGUAUGCAUACAUAUUUAACCCACCCAAAAAAAUUCUACAGACAACCAAUUUCACAAUCUGCAACACCUCCACUUGCAAAGAGAUAAAGGGUCAAGGGAAGAGAGUAGAAUUAUAAGCUCAAAUCCAGCUGAAAGAAACAUGUGCUGUUCUGAAAACACCAACCUGAGUAUGAAAAACAGCUCUGCAAUUGUCGACACACAAAAGGGAUCUCAAAUCCCACAAACCCAUGUGACUUUCUAAAUGUAUGACACUCAAAAAGACACUAAUCAAGCUAAAAUUAUCACUAAAUAUCUGAGCAAUAAGCGCAUCCUAUUUCAGAUAUCAUUCAACAUUUAAGCAAUAAUACCAAUUUAUUAAAUAGGAUUCCACGUGUAUUUUUUAAUGUGCCAAUGCUGUAUACAGUGGUCCAGUAGAUUAGCGAUCCCUUAUCCAUGGUACGGUUGAAAUAAAGUAUUUAGUCAUCACUAUCAAUAAUGGGCAAGAGAACAAAGUUAUGUCAACAUGAAAGACUGAUUAAAAAGUGGCAAACUAGUCUGACCUUUUCUAUAAAAAAAAAAAGUUUAAUGUUGUCUCGGCUACAAAAUUUGACGGUGACCGCAAAACCAAAACAUCUGGCAAAGUCACCAAUGAUACCCCGACCCUUCUAACCUUCUUCUUCAAAGAAGUUUCUAUGGCGACUGAGGACGGCCUUAAAACGGCAAGGUGUUUAUUUGUAUUCCGAAAUUUGCGUAUCUUUACUUUUGUAGGUUUAAUGCAUAGGCGAUAAUCGGAAGGCGAAUAAGGGGCCGCCAUAGAGAAGAAGCAGGAGCUGUGCGUUGUUAAGAGAGGAAAAUGCCACGUCUGUGAGUUGAGGAAUGGAAAAGGCCUUUCGCGAAAAGGCAAAAACAAAAGCAAAAGUAAAAGGAAUGACAAGUUGACAACACCAAUUUGGGAUAAUUUCACAAAUCUCCCCUGAGGUUUGCCUUAAUAUCAGUUAGCGCCCUUAUAGUUUCAAAAAAUCUCUCAAGACAGGUUUGUGUGCUAAAAAGUCAAUUUUUGAGAUAAUAAAUUAUUUGAAAUAAUUUUGUGUAAAAAUACUACUGUUGCACUUUUUUGAUGUGAUAUACGUGGAAUAAAAAAGUGAAUGAAAAAUGUGUUAAUAAUACAAGUUAGUCAAUAUGUGUAAAUAAGAUAGAAAUAAUAUGUAAUCCAAACACGCUCAUUUAAUGAAUGUGGAAACCAAAAAACAAUCUACCAUCAUACUAGUACUGAGUGUGUUUAGAUAGGCAUUUUGUUCAAAAAAUUAUUUACUUACAACAUGAUCACAUUUUUCAACACAUCUUUCUAUCUUUCUAUCACUUUUUAUCUCGCAUACAUUAUAUCAUAAAAAGUACUAUAAUAAUUAUUUUAAAUAAUAUGCUAUUUAAAUAAUGAGUGUUUGUAGAAGCAAUCUUGUAAAAGGAAUGAAAAUCUUCCAAGUAAUGAGAUUAUGGCAUUGGGAUUACUUGGAUCAAUUUGGAGUGGUGCAUAGGCCCUACAAUGUUUUAUUCAAAAUACUCUCAAUUUGGGCUGCAACUUUUUACAUGGGCGAUAUUCUAAGGGUCUUAAAAAAUGGACAUACCUUUUUUUUUUAAAAAAAAAAAAAAGGGACGACAAGGGGAUGUACUUAAGAAAUAAUCAUUGGGAAAUUCUAUUUCCAUUAAAAAUUGGGAUAAUUUUAGUAACCUUUCCUAAAGUUUCCAAGUAUUUCAGUUAGUUCUCUUCAAGUUUUAAAAAUUAUACUUACUUCCUUUGAUUUGAUAUUUUGGUAACCAAACCUUAAAUUAUGGUAAAAAAUAAUUAAUACCCUAAAGUGCACUUAUCUUAUAAAAUUUAUUUUAUUUGUCUAAACAAUUAUAAAGUAAUGCAGUAUAAUUAUAUAAUAUGAAUGAGUGCCAAGUUUUUUAAGUCAAUAUUUAUUAUUUGAUAAUUAAUUGUAACAAUAAAUCUAUCGCUAUAAUAGGCUACUUUUUAUACUGUUUUAUCGGAGAUAUAGAUUUUUUUUAAAAUUGAAAAGAAAGCAUUAUCUUGAUUUUUUUAAAGGUUGUGAACCAGUUAUGUGGUAGAACUACCACAAUUUGGUUGUGAUUUUGGCCUAUUUGAUUUUAGGUUAUUGUCAAAAUUUUUUAAAUUUGAUACCUAGAAAAAAAAAGCUACAAAAAUUUAGAUUACAUUAAAGGUUAUCAAAAAAGUUGACUAGUUUGACGUUUGAUCAACAUAGAGGUUUGGUGUAAUAUUAAUAGUUCUUCAGAUUUUAUGAUGAAAUAUAAAGAGAAAUGAAUAAACAGGAAAAAGGGAAAAAUAUAUAAAAAUCCAUCUUUUAUAUAAGCAUAGCCAACAAGAGAAUUUUAUUAGAAUGUCGAUGUUAGUAGUAUCAUUUAAAAUCGGCAAAGGAUGCACAUGUAAUUUUAAAAAAACCUAAAAAAAAAAAAAAAAACCUUAUGAGAGGUUUCUGAAAUUAUCCUUUAAAAGUAUAAGAAACCUGAUGAAUGGAAUUCUACACAGUACUAUCUGUAGUGCACUUACCAGGAAUUUAGGAAUCUUGGGUUGCACUGCUUGUAAAUGUCCAUGUCAUUGCAAUGAAAAAGUAGCGCAUAUGAUAACUUUUUCAUUGGAUUAGUGGAAAAUCACAUAUCAUCGAAACAUUUAUUCACGCUAAUACAAUAUUUGACUAUGGAAAUUACCAAGGAUGCACCGCAUUUGGAGAUCUUGUACCUUUUUUUUUUUCUCGUUUUUUCUUUUUGGUUUAGUCCAAAACUAAACAAAAAUUGGGUCGACAAAUGUCAGGUCAUUCAAUAGCUACAAAGGUAAUAGAAUGGGGCCAGAAGUAGAGAAUUUUCCAGUUUUCCUCAUUGCAAUAUCGUACAACUUUCCGUGACUGGUGAGGUGUCAAUGAGAGAGUGGUCAAUGGAAGCUUGCUAGAUUUCCCCUGCAUAUUCAUCUUCCCGAGAUUACACGUCAAACCAUGCCACCAUGACAGCCUGCUCUACGAGCUGGGAUGUGGCUGUACCUUUCUCUCAUUCUUUAUUUAUUUUUAUUUUUUGACCUUACUGUGUGGGUUUGCUUUGGUAAAGCCUAAAGGCUGCGGGCUGCAUCCUGGUAAGUAAUCAUCCGUGGUUAAUCUUUAUUUAAUUACUCGUCAUCUGUGGAUAAUCUCUUUUUAAUUGAAAAUGCCCUAUUACAUCAUCAUACACUCGCAUGCUCCAUUAUUCAAUCCCUCUGGAGACAGACAUUUUGAUCUGUUCUAACCCCAUAACUUGUUACCCUUCAGGAUCAUUUAAGUGGUCGUUUCAUUUGAAAACUACAUCUGACUAAAGAUGCCAUCCCCAUUACUCUCUGGCGCAGCUGAUUGGCGUUCAACUUAGAAGAGAUAGAUAGGCACAUGACAUGAAAGUUUUCAUUAUUCAUGUGCAUAUGUUACUUAUUUCAUAUGUUUUCUUGUUGACUGACUUCCUCGGUUUUCUCUCAUGCUGUGUGCAAAUGUCAAGUCAAAACUCAAGAUGCCCUUGCUUAUUUAGGCACUUGCGGUGAAACCAAGUUAAUCUACAUACAUCAAAACUUAAUCCAAAUUAGUCAAAUUAAGAACUUGUUUGGCCUCCUAUUUAAAAGUUAACGCAUUUUUUAAUUACUUCACAUACAUCAUAUUAUAAAAGAUAACUGCAGUAACUCUUUUUUUUUUUUUUUUUUCCAAAAACUCUAUUAAAAAUACAAUCCAAACAAAAUUUGAAAGUUUUGAAUUAAUAAAGUUUUGUUUUAUAUCAGAAUUACUAAAAACUCUCUAACUUAAGUAUAGAGCAAUUUGAGGAACUACAAUGAUAUAUAUAUAUAUAUUGAAAAAGAAAAAAUUUUAUGUUACGCUUGAUGCAAGAAGGAGAUACUUUUUUCAAGAUGAAAGCCGUCUAGCUUAAAUAAUACUAUUUGGGGCGAUGAAUAUGUUUGGAUAGUAAAUUUUUUAAAACAAUACGUUAAAAGAACAUAUGGGAACUUUAGACUCCAUUUUUUUAGAUAAACAUGUAAUUGUAAUAUGGUUGAAAGAACGCCUGCCUCCUUUUCAGAAAAAUGUGAACCUCAUAAUUUCGUAUAAUUUGAAAAGAAAAGCCAAUAAAGGGAACAAAUUGCACAAGUCAUUAUAUUGCUUUUUCACCAUUUCCACAAAAGAGUAUGCUACAAAUAAGGUCAAGGAUUUUUAUGCUAUGUGAGUCCACUUGAUACAAGCAAUAGUAAGAUAGAAGAAUUUUUGGAUAUAAGAAAGAAUCAUACCGAUUCACUUAUUCACCACGUCAUAAAUGCAACAAUACUAAUCUACCAUGACAGCUUCUUCCGCAAGUGUUUGAACAAUAAGGAAAAACCUCUUUUGAUAAUAACUUUAAAUGAGGAAGAGACUAAAAUUUUCAUAGAGAAAACAUUAGAAAUUACUUUUAAAAAAAUUAAAAACCCGAUUUAAUUUUUUUACUUCUUGAAAAAGGAACGAUUUGCACACAAAAAACAAAAAAAAAAAAAGAAGAAGAAGAAAGAAACAAAAAAUUGCGAAAAUCACGGGAUUAUGAUACUGUGUUGGUUAUUUAUGUAAAUUACGACAUUUCACUAACCUACGACCAUAAGAUUAAGGUCCUACCAUAAUUAACUGUCAUUACAAGAAAUCCCAAACCCUCUAUAAAACCUUCUCCAUCACUCCGCUCGAAGCUCCCCGGCCAUCAAACCGCCCCAAACGCUCCCACCCAAUGCCCAAAGGUCUCCACCGAACCAACCGAUGGACCCACCACCUCCGCCACCGUCAUCCACCGCCACAGACCCUCUCCCACCUCUCCCCACCACCCCACCCAAACUCCGACUUAUGUGCAGCUAUGGUGGCCACAUAGUUCCCCGUCCACAAAACAAGUCCCUCUUUUACGCCGGCGGAGAAACCCGAAUAGUCGCUCUGGACCGCCGCACGGUCUGCACAUCCAUUUCCGCCCUCACCGCCCACCUCUCCCGGACCCUCUUUGGCAACCGCCCGUUUCAUCUGAAGUACCAGCUCCCAAACGAGGACCUCGAUUCACUCAUCUCCGUCACCACUGAUGACGACCUCCAGAUUAUGCUGGAAGAGCACGACCGCAUCUCCGCCGUUACGUCCCCUACACCAUCCCGCAUCAGAUUAUUUCUCUUCCCCAUAAAGCCAGAGUCUCUGGGUUCAGCGCUUCUUGAUCCGAAAGCUGACUCGUGGUUUUCUGAUGCUCUGAAUAACACGAGGAUUGUUCAGAGGGGUCAGUCUGUUGAUGCUGCUGGAUUGGGUCAGGGACUAAUGGGUUUGGAUAUUUUGGGUAGAUCGGAUUGUAAUGCGGCCUUGGAGAAUCCAGCUGAAAGCAUGAGUAAUAAUGGUGCUGAGGCUAAGGAAAUCAGUGGGGCUGUGCCGGAAUCGUUGGUAUUAGAGACUAGCUCGUCCUUUGGGUCAACUAGUUCUUCAAUUUCAAUGUCAAAUGCGCCGGCUGUUGGGAUCCAUUGUGAGGACGGGAGCGUCAGUUUGUUCGAGAGGAGGCUCAGAGUGCCCUCCUCAGCCUCAAUUGACAGGUAAUAGCGUGUUUCCGUUCGUGUGUUUUUUUUUCUUUUUGAUUUCAAAAUUCUUUUGUGGACUUGAUACUUAAGAAUCCAAAAUAAGGAAAAGUUAAAUGAGUUAGCUUUUGCUUUCUAUGUGAUCUUCAAUUUUAAUUUCCAAGCAACUGAUGAUAGGAAAAAUAGGUGCAUACUGAAGUUUUUUCGAGGACUUAGAAUUUGAUGAGGAGAUUUGGGGAAGGCUCGAGUUUUAUUCAAACUAAAUGAUGCGCAUCCUUGAAAUAUUGAAGAGCAAUUGUUGAUCUGUUUUGAUUUUUUUUUUUAACAUACUGAUUGAUUCCAAAAUUGCCCACGAGGACUACAUUAGAGGUAAAAAGAUCUGGAUGUUGCUUGGGUACAUGGUAUUGUAUUCAGAGAAAAGGAGAUAGUGAUCUUGAUUUUUAAGAGAAUGUCAGCCAGACCACUGGUAGCGAAUCAUGGCAUCUCUAGAAUGUCUUGUGGAUUUUUAUGUUUCAGUUGUACCAAAACAUUUAAUUAUUGCGUUAGAAUGGCAAUCAGGCUUCCUACUGUUUAUUGGAGCAAGAGGCAAAUAAGUCCUCAGAAAAUGUAAAUGAUUUGCUGCUAAAUUUAUUUGUACUCGGUUAUCAAGAACUUUAACAAGUUGAAAGUUCCAAGAAGGGAAAAACUUGAAGCCAAGGUAUUGUUUCUCUACUUGAUUUUGCCAACAACCUUUCCCUGGUGUACUCAGUUAAGCUAGUCGCCAAGUGCAAAUAUUUCAUGUGCACUGCAUUGUUCAUAUCUCAUAUCGGAUUAUAAUCAUGGAAAUGUUACUGAAUUUUGCCAGUGAUAAUAGUGUUGGAAGUGCUGGUAUCCAACCAAAAGCGGGGAUACACCAAGAGCCAUAUGUUCAAGUUGCUUCGGGAGUGUCCUCAUACUCAGUAGAAACAGAAAAUUAUCCUCCUGACCCUCAAUCUGUGAUCCAAAUGCAGAAAAAUGUUCAGCUGGCUGGUUACCAAUUAUCUCAGCAAUCAGAAGGGAAGCACCACCAGUAUGAAGUCCAGUACGUUCAAGGAGAUAUGCGCUACAUGCCUCAGUAUCAAGCUGGCCCAUCACCACUUCAGUCUUACUAUCCAUUAUAUCAAAUGCCUAUGCUCCAGCAGCUGCAUAGUUCUUAUGCAGUAAACCAACCCUAUCCAAUUUACCUGGUGCCUGUGAGGCCAAAUCAGAAUUAUGGGGUGUCGGUGGAGAAUACAAAUGUUGCCUCAAGUCGGCCACCAUUACAUCCACAAGCUGCCAUGAUCCCUCCAGUGACUUAUAAAGAGGCCACAACUGGUCAACCAGUGCCUGAAUCAGCUUUAAAGUUUUAUCAGACUGUUCCGCAAGCCACACCUGCAGUCAGUGCACCCACUACACAAGGUAAGAAGCAAUUUAUGGAGCUUCCUGAGCUGCAGCAUCCUUCGCAAACAGUUGUCAGCGCUCCAGUGGCAAGCUCUAAUUAUGCUAGCGAAUUUGAUGAUGAUGUUGCAUACACUCAGAUAUAUAAAACGCAGCCAUCAGCUUCUGCCUUGCCGUUGCCAUACCAAACCUUGAUGAAGGGAGUAAAUUUGAUGGCGUCAGAGUCAUCAUCAACACAGGAAAACAUGGGCAUCAAGCAUCAGACGCCGUCACAUCCUCAAUGAGGCUCUCGUCUUAGAACAGGAAAAUUUUGAUAGGGGGUAAAUUUUCAUAUCAAGUACAGUCUUUCAUUGUGAUUGGUUUUGGGGUUAGAAUAAACCGUAUUUUGUGUUAUUUGUUGAUUGUUUAUUUAUUUAUUUUCCGCGGACUGCUUUUUUCUUUUUUCUUUUUUCGGGUGGCUGUAUUAUCUGUUAAUGGAUUUCAAGUUAUGAGUGUGGGAAAAUCUGUAAAAACUAGAGUUUUUUUCUUGCCAAUUGCGAUCUGAAACUAGUAUUGCUUUAGGGCAGCAUUCAACAUUCUUACAUCUAUUUUAGAUGCAUUCAUUAGUCCCUUUUUCACUAGCCUUACUAUGGCUUUUCAUAGCUUCUUUUUGGUGAUGCUAAUGGCAAUGUUGGACUCAUCCCAAUCACAUUCAGAAUAAUCUGUUCUCGCUGCUCUAUUGUUACCAAUACCAAAAUAUCUUUGAUACCGGCCUUGUAGGAGUAGGCGUCGGAGCUCUAUCAGCUAUUUCAUUCUUGUUAUUUACUUCGGUCUUCACAUCUAUUUUUAAUCAUUUAAAAAUGAACGUCUUAGCUAACUGUCCCAUUUGAAGGAAAAGUAGAUUAUUGCUGUAACACGUUAUGGACAUCAAAAUGCUUAAUCCUUGGCAAGGUUCGAAGUCUCUGCAACUUGCGGGUUGAUCAGGAUACUGUUCCUCUUAAUUCUCUACUGCUCUCUUUUUAGUGAAAGCAGCCAAUAUGUUUUAACAGAAAGAUUUUUGUUGCAAUUGGAAUGGUGAAUUUACACAAUCGACUUGUACUCUCUCGGGUACGGUGGAAAUGAACGCAAAAAAUUGCCAACAUACUGUUAGUCGUUGGAAUUCUCAGAUUCCAGGGGCUAGGUUCCUCUGACUUUUAAGAAGCAACUGACUUUUAAGAAUCUCAAGCGCAAUGGUAGCAGGUCAACCCGUCGAGCGAGGGACUGUCUUGUUCCCUCUUCAAACUAGUAGCAUUUUGUGGAGCUUUACAAGGAAACGAGUUUACAGGCUCUUUAGCCGCUGUCUUUUACCAAUUUCGAAGUUUGUAUCAUUUGGUAAUAUUAUAUAAUGGUGCUUGUUUUUGAUGGGAUCUCAAGUUCAUAUUCGAAAAUUUUGGUGGAUAUACGUACGCAUUCUAAAAGAUAAUGCUGGCUGGGAAUUCGAAUUGCUCAUGCCACAGUAUGGUUUCCUCGAUGAUUUUCAGACACUUACUUCCCCUUAAUACGUCAAGAUUAAGAACGUGUUAUUGGGCUAAAUACUUCUCCCACGGUUAACCAAAGCAAGCAACCUCAUAAAGUGCUGCUUCUUUUCUGAAUUUCAAUAGCUUUUGGUUCUCUGGUUCUUAAUGAGAUAAUAAUGCUAUCAAGAUUUAGAUGCUAUCUUCUAUAAAAUUGCUUAAUAGAUUCUUGGGACCAUUCUCAAAUAUCUCACAUAAACUCGCAAGCACAGUUGCUAAAAACUUUUCUUAGCAUGAUUUCCUGAUACAUGUACAGCAAGUUUACUGGUUUAGCAGGUUAAUAAGUACUAAACCUGGCAGAAAUGCGUCUGACUGGGGUGAGACUUAGCUCCUAGCAGUUAUGCAACAGAAAAUCUUAUUUGAUGUAUCUACUUGCCAGAAGGGGAUUUACUAGUAGUGUUUAGGCUGUAUGAUAACCUCUCAAUGGGCUUCUAUGCCUUUAUUAGUGCUCUUGCCACUGAAGAACUUGGCUAGAUUUGGCAUAACCUUUUUUCUCCUCCUGACUGCAAAAGAAGCCGACCUUGGUGUACUCCGAGGAGCUGGAGAUGCUGCUUUUCGCAGCUUAGCUCGUCUCAUCGGCGUCGUUCUUCCGCUUCUGUUUGUUGAUUUUGCUGGCAAUCCAGCCUGAGGCCCUGGCGUUUCCAGAGCAAUGAUCUUUUCAUAUUUUUGCUUCCAACUUUUGAAUUCACUCUCAACUUUUAGCUUUUCAUGAAGUGAUUCCUGUGUGUUGUCAGCCUCCUGGUCUUCCUCCACCUUCAGCUCUCUAAUCUCUUUUUUAGUUUUCUCAAGUUUGAUCAGGAUUUCUCUUUCGCUGGCUUUUAGAGCUUCAAUCCAUGCCUGGGCAGCUGCAACCUUUUUAUCUGCAAUUUCUUCAGCUCCAGCCGCACGAUUUCUUAGGUAUUCGUAUUCAAAACUAGAGAUCAUUAUGACUGGGCUGCGCUGUGAAACUGAAACUCUUCUUCUCACUGUGUUGUCAAUAAGCGUUUUUAGUUUCCCCAGAGCCGCAGCUUCUGAUGACUUGGCAGAUUUGAGCUCUUCGAUUGCAGCUUGUAACCUUUCCUCUGCCAAGUCUAUCUCUGAUUCAGUCUUCUCAAUCUCUGCCUUGAUGUUUACGGUUUCUUCAUCUAUAAGUGACCUUUCUUUUUUGGCUGCCUCUGCUUCUGUCUUCAUUUGCUCAAGAGCACGAGAUAAAUUUGACACAAUUUCUUUAGCCUUUUCUUCAGCUGCUGACGCAGCUUCCAAUUUGGCUUUUCCUCGCAGGAGCUUUGCAUUCAGGUUUUGUACUGUUAAGUCCGUCUUCUCUUCCCUUUUCUUCGAUCGCGCUGCUUCUUCUUUGACAUUUUUUAGUUCGGUCCUUACUAUAUCCAUGGAAGCCAUAAAUUUAAAACCUUCUUCCCUGACAGACGCUAAUUCUUUCUUAGUUUCCUCCAGUUCUUUUGUGAUAGAUUUCAGCAGUUCUGGAGUACUUGAUACAUGCCCAUCCUGAGAACUACACUCCGAAUUUCUCAUGGUCUCUUUACCUCGGUUUACUGUGCCCAUUUUUUUGACUUGCUUUAGUUCACUCUCUAGCGUUUUGACAUCUGAAGUAGUUAUGGCCAGUUUCCUCUCAAUCUCUUUUGCAGCAUCAAUUCCUUGAGUCAUCCCUUUGAUUUUCUUCCUUGUUUCCUCCAUUGCAGCGGAGUGUCUUUCAGCUUCUUUUUUUCCCUCGGUUUCAAUAGCUUCAUGUUCCUUGAGGGCCUCCAUCCGAGCCAACUCCACAAGCACUUGUUCUUCAUUUGUUUCCUCAAUCUCCCUCUUCAGCGCAUCCACUGUGCCUGAAUAAGAUCCCAAUUUCGAAUUAGAAGCUUCUGUUUCUUUCUCUGCCCUUCUUUUUUCUUCCAAGAGAGAAGCCAUCUCCUCCUUGAGCAUUUUCAAUUCUUGCUUUACAUCUUUCAAUUCUGCCAUUAGUUGCGGGUACCGAUGAUUUUCCACGUUCCUCCCCAAACCUGCUUCAACCUUUUUAGUCUUCGUUAACUUCUCCAGGUAUUGAAUCCGUUCUUUUGCUCUGGAAUUUGAUAUUUCAAUCCUUGAAGUUAGAUCCUUUACAGUGUGGUUUGCGACUAAAAGUUCGGAUUCUGCUUGUGGUUCUGCCGGCUUUCCAUUGCUUCUGCUCCCAUCAUACUUGACAGUCUCGCCCAUUGCAAACUUGGGCUCCCUUGUUAGUGGAGACGGUUUCUGAAUACAUUUCAAAAUGUUUCAGAACAGCUAAAAACCAGAAACAAAUUAAUCUAGCUGCAAUUCUUAGAAUUGCAAUUUAAACCUGAAAUAUGAUGUUCAAGUAUUACUGCUGGCAAGCAUCUCAUAUAUAUGGUAGUACCUCUGAGUAGAUUUGUGGCGGUUUCUUCAAAGAGUGAUGGUUUUCAAGCAUUCUUUCCCCAUACACGGUUGCAGCUGCUUUAACUGGUCUACUACUCCUGUGGUAAACAUCACCCGCAUUCAUCUUUCCGUAUCCUGCAUAAGGAAAGCAAAGACUGCAUAAAACAAGGGAUAUAAUUAACUAAUGAAAAGAUUCAGAAGGGAGACGCCAGAGUAGGAAUAUAACCAGAAUCCUUGGAGGAUCAGAAUCCAGGCAUCCACGCUAGAAAGGGUUGCUUGAUGUGUCCGUUGUCGGCAGCUGGUGCAAGUGAUAGGAGCACCAAGAAAAAUGGCUAUGAAAUAAUGAAAAUUCUGAGGGAGAGGAUAAGUGCAGCGAGGCGCGGCUGAGAGAGUUAGUUGUUGGCUUGCACGUAGCCUUGGUGGUAAAAGUUGUAACAAAGCUGGUUCAGUGAAUGAGAUAAAUCAGCAGAGAGGAGAGAAAACCUAUGAUUGGCUACCAUUGGAAGCAUCGCCAGCCAUCUAAAUUGUCCAAUCUCUGGACCCCAACGAUGCCAAUUUUCUGGUCAAUUAAAAUUUCAACUUCACAUCUCAUCAUUCAAGUUAACCCUCGUUUCUUGUUCAAUUCUGAGGUCUUAAAAUGCCCACUUUUGGUUCUUUUGUUGCUGAUAUAUGUUGUCUUAAGCUUGCCUGUCAAGUUGCAAUGACUUUUAAGUAGUUGGAUUUAGCGUACGUAUGUUUUCGUAUUGCUAAAGGCUUCUAUGUAUGUCCUUUUCCUAUGGGCAAACUUUUUGUUGCAAAACAGUAGAAAUUCCAUGUGUAGUUGGAUGGUAGUAAUUUACACGGGAUUAGCUAAAAUUUGAGACUUCAUUGUUUUGAAGCCUCCACUUCAAUUUGCAAACGAAGACAAGAAUCUGCAAUUGUCAGAGGCUCAAACUUGGAGGGCGACAAAAAGUCGUGUUCUUUUCUUUUCUUUUUAUUCCCCCUCUUUUUUGGGCGCACACAAAAAUUUGAGGAGUUAGGCAAAAGAAGGCGAUAGUCAAAUCCAACGUUUAUCCUUGCAAUUGAUUCAGGUGAUUAAAGUAAUCAAAUAUUAAAUUAAGCGAAAAAUCAGGUUAUUCCAACUUCAGGAAUAGCAGCAAACUCUGUCAAGAAACUUACGUUAAUGUAGAAAAUGAUAUUAACAAACCUUCAUCAUAUUAAUCUUUAUUGCAUUGGUCUUAAAGUCUAAAAAUCUACUUCGUUUGUAUCUCAAUGAUAAGUUGAAUUGUCAAACAGACCCUAAGUGAAUUGAAUAGACUGAAGGGUUAUUGGUGAAUAUAUAGAGGGACAAUUUUGUCUCUUAGAAUAUUUGAUAGUUUUUGUGUCAUUUCAUUAAUUAAAAAGGAAGGAAGAGUACCUGAAAUUUUUUUUGAGUGCAAAUAUCAUUUCAGUCAAUUUAUUGCAAUGACUACACAUGGUGAGGUGUCACUUAAACUACAAAAAAAUUUUUUUUUUUUAGUUAGAGACAAAAAAAUAUACUAAUCCAACAUGUUUCUCACUAGUUAUUUUAUUGCAAUGACCGUGUCUGCCUUAAUAUAUUGUGAGGUGUUUUCAAGCUUCAACGUGUUAUCAAUUAUCACCGUGUUUGCCUUAAGGUGUCAAAUUUCGAAAGAUUAUUUAUUUAUUUAUUCAUAUUCACCUAAUUAAUUUUUUUUAUUGAGUUUUAUGAUUUUAAAAAUUAUUUUCAAUUUCAAAGUUGUCAAGGGUCUAGGGUUGCAAAUGAAUCUAGAGUUGGCCAAAUCGAGGUCAAAAAUAUUAAACUCGUUAGCUCGCGAACUGGCUGGCGAGCUCAAGUUAUAUAUACAUACAUAUAUAUUAUUUAUUUUUUUAUUUUAAUGAUAAAAUUACAUAUAUAUUUCUAAUAUUUUAUUAUUUUUUAAAAAAUAUUAUUUUAUUUUUUAAAAAACAAGCUCAAUCUCAAGCUCGAACUUGACUCGAAUUUGAGCCGGGCUUGAGAUCAAGCUUUAAAUUUGCAGUUUGUUGAGUUCGAAUUCAAUAAAAUUAAGUCAAGAUUUGAUUUGAUUAGGCCAAAAUUCAAUUUGACUAGAUUCCUUUGUAGUCCUGCAAACGCCUUAGUGCUUUCUUGGAAGAUUGGGCCCCAAGAUACAGACAGGCCUUUUUUGAAUCACGUAGUCCGCAUGCAAAUCGGGUCUUUUGGGCUCGUACAUUUUGUGUCUUUUGGGCCUCGUACAUUUUGUGGACAACACUGGUACCUUCUGGCAUGGUGUGUCAAAAAGGGUAUCGUGGGCAUUGUAAGCACUCCAUAAAAGAUUAAAAGGGCGCCUCUGAAAAAUCAUUUAUUUUUCUAUUAAUGGACCAAUUUUAUAAUUAGUGGACCUGAAAUAAAACACUUAUUUGUUUCACAAAUUUUCAUUUAUUCCCUUUUUGAUGAACUACACAGUAGUAUUUUGCAGGUGUAAAAUCAAAUCAACUACAAUAGAAUAAUAAUACUGCUUAUUUUUACUAGCCAAACAAACAAAAAAAGAAAUUUCUCUUCCCUGAUAUAACUGUAUUUCUUUAUGCGGUGGGCGGUGGCCAAAUCUCGUGCUGUCGUGCAGAAGCAGUAUAUCAGGUGGCGCUGCCUCGCAAACACGCUCGAUCAUCAUAUUAUGAUGAAUGGACAGUUUUUACGCCCACACUGAUUCUGAUGCUGCUGCAUAGCACUGUAGUACGAACCUUUCUCCACCAGGGAGAAAGUCAUAAAUGAAGACUAGUCUUCGUAUAUAUAGUAUAUGCAACACAAGAAUGGUUAGAAUUCACCCAUAUCUCACUUCUCAGCUGGAAAAAACUCAUUCCAGAUUCAGAUCUAAGAAGAGAUUCUCUCCCAGAAAAUGUCAUUGACAUUGAUGAUUAUCAGAAAUUGGAAUUUAGAUUUGCAAUUGAAAUAGAGGCUCAUAGGAGAUAGGAAAUGGAUGUGGAGAAAUCGUCGCUGUGUAAUUGCGUGGUGAAUUUCCUACUGGAGGAGAAUUACUUGUUAACGGCGUUCGAGCUUCUCCACGAGCUACUUGAUGACGGCCGCGAUGAUCACGCUAUUCGUCUUAAGGAAUUCUUCUCCGAUCCUUCUCGUUUCCCUCCCGAUCAGAUUUCUCGCCUCAAUUCCCUCAGAGGUUCCAUUAGUUUUGUUUUUCCUUAUUUGUCCAUUCAGAUACACGAAUUUUUGUAGAAUGUCUGCAUAACUUGUCCCAACUGUUUAAAAAUAAGGUUUAUCCAGUUUCGCUUUCUUCUUUUCGUUGAUCUGAAUUGAGUUGCAUGAAUUCUAGACUCGAAGGAAUUGUUGAAGAUCGAGCGGUAGUUUCUAGCUUCUUGAAAGGAUGCUCAAAUAUAAUGCAUUAAAAUGUUAACAUUUAAAUGUGUGUAAUCUGGGACGAGAUAUCGGCGUGGCAGCAUUUCCGUUGUUGCAUUUACUUGCAUUUUAAAAAGUUCUAAGAUACUUCUUUUCUUAGUGAUUCAGUGGAUGUGGCUCUCGAGAUCUGGACUUGAUUAGUGCUAUGUAGGUUGUAUGUUAAUCUUUAAUAAUUUAAAGUUUUUGCAACAGAACAUAUCAGAAUCUUCUUCCAUAAAGAUUUUAUGAUUUCUAGAUGCUGAUGGAGGCUGCUUAAAAUAAUGUACUGGUGAUAGAUUAAAGAAACAGAGCUGGUAACGUAGUCUGAAGUGAGUACUGUAGUAUGCGAUGAUGUUUUAGCUUAUUUGACUAGCAUACGUUGGUGGAACAAAAUUUUCUACACAAGGAUAAGCGGCUUAUUGGUUUUAAUGGUUUAAAAGAUUUUGUUUUAAAUAUUUCCUUUUCUAAGAUGUUACUGAGGCUUAGGUUUUUUAUGUUUUUUAAAUUUUAUGCCCAAGUGAAUGCAUGCAUGAAAGUGUUGCACUAUGGUAUAACUGAUGCCCCAACCAUCUCUUUUCAUGUGUGAACAGUUGCGGACCCACAAAGUCUGCUUGACGAAAAAGAAGCCUUAGAAGAAAAAUUAGCAUUGAGUCAGUAUGAGCUCCGUUUGGCUCAAGAAGAUGUUCUUAAACUCAAGACUGAGUUAGAAAAUAGAUCUAAGGGUACUCUGGGUGAGAGAAGUGGUAAGUCUUUGAAUCUUAUUACAAUUGCUUGCUUUUGUUUAAUAUAGCUUUGCGUUUGGGAUAUGCAGCUAUAUCCUUGAAAAUGUUUUGUUCUAUUUGAUUAAAUGACUAGAUUUACUUACUUGGAAUUUGUGUGGAUAACCGGAUCCAUAAGCUGGUGUCUGAAAUGUGUAUACUUAUCUUAGAGAUGUAGGUUGACGCUUGCUCUCCAGUUUUGUAAUCUUUCUUCCCCAUGUUUUCUGAACCUACACAAUUCCUCCCCCCUCUCCCGGGCCCCCCGCCCCAACAACACUAUAUAUAUAUAUAUAUAAUUUAAAAAACAAAAAGUAAAAGCAAAGAAAUUUUUCCUUUAUUUUCCAGUGAGACUAGUCUCCAGUUUCACUCUGCCAAUUACCAUAACUAUGCUUAGUCUGAGUAAAUUAUGGAAACAGAAUAUUCUCUCUCAAUUGUUCUGCCUAAUUGAAUUUUGCAGAGACAAAUUUAGAUGCUUCUGCAGAUGUUCAACGCCAGAGGAACGAUGCUUCUUUCUUGGACUUGGGAUCUUUGAAGGACAAUGAGCGACAAGAUCUCAACUGUGCUGUAAAGGAAUAUCUACUAUUUGCUGGAUAUCGUUUGACUGCAAUGACAUUUUAUGAGGAGGUAUUUUAAGCAGAGGUGGCUUAUUAUUUUAUGUCGUGACAAAGUCAAUUCUCAUAGAGCUGGAGUAUUGUACUUCCAUUAUCUGUAGAUGACAUCUUCUCCAGCUUUUGUUUUAUGGCAUUAUCAGUAUCUAGAAACAAAUAAGUGUUUAAGAGGUAUUGCUUAGCAGUGGUUGACUACUCUAGCCAUCCAUAUUACCCUUUGAUGCAAGUGACUGAAGGUUAAAUAUUUAAACAUUUUAAGGAUAAAAUUUGCAACAGUUAGGGGAUGUGUCAUAUAAGGUUUUUAAGUUGGAUACUUAUUGAUUUGAAUCCCAUACUAGAGACAUUUCUGGGGUGAUCACCUGCAUUACUGCAGCUUACUUUUAAUCAAAAUUCUAAAGUAAACUAUCCGAUUUUGAUGCAUUGACUUUGUGGUUUGCCAAGUGUGGUUUCCACAUAUUUUUAUGGCUAUUUUGUUUGCAUAGGAUAAGAUUGUGAUUUUCUUUAGUAUCUUGCCUUGUCUUUUAUCCCAAUUUCGUUACUGCUGUAAUACAUGCAUCUACUUUUACAUGUAGUAUGAAAGUUUCUUACUUCCAUUACAUGUUUGACAGGUUACUGACCAGAAUCUAGAUGUUUGGCAAAAUUCCUCUGCAUGUGUUCCAGAUGCCCUGCGCCAUUACUAUUACCAGUACCUUUCUUCAAGUACAGAAGCUGCUCAGGUACUUCCCUGCUCAUUAUACAUUAUGAAAAGUUCUUUUUACAUUUAUUCUCAAAAUAACAUCAGAUAAGAUAUUAAAUCAUCUACCUGUUUACCCUCAGCAGAAGGGUAUUUGUACUACCUUGUUUCUUUGUGAUUAAUCAUCUUAGUACAGGUCCAAAUUUCUAUUGUGUUCCUUAUUGCUACUUCAGGAGAAUAAAGUGAGCCUGAUAGCUUGUUGAAAACAACUUGUGAUUAGUUAUCUUGCAGGCUUACAUUUUUUAUAGCUUUGUUAUUUCCGCUAAGAUCGUGGUUUCUUCCAUACAAUGAUCUGGACUUUGCACAUUUGUACUUAUUUGCGGUCAAUAUCUGUUAUGCUUUUUCUUCAUUGUGAAUUUGGACUGCCAAAUUUUUGCAUAUUCCCAUAUGUUUUGCUUUUUAUGAUUCGCUGCAUUGUUUGUGGGGACAGAGUUUUCUUUGUGACAGAUAUAACAUUUCGUAUAUUCUUAUAUUAUCUGCUUGCGAUGACCAAGCACUUGAUAAUAUCUUUUCAUAAAAUGUUGUUGUAUUCGCCAAACUGUUCAUUGGUGAGAAGAGCUGUUGUGCUUUGCAGGAGAAAAUUACUAUGCUUCGUGAAAAUGAGUCUCUGCAGAAAGAAAAUGAUAAGCUGAAGAAGGAAAAACAGUCCUUACUGAAAAGCAAGGAUAUUGCAGACACCCAAGUGGUGGCAUUGAUGAAAUCCCUUGAAGCUUUCCAGAAGGAUAUAAAGGACAAGGAAGUUCUGGUGAUUAUCUUAGACUCUUCGGAAAUAUUGCAGCAUGUUAAAUGCACUCUAUUCAUGUUUUCUGGACAACAUUUUGUCACAGGUUCAAGAAAUGAAGCAGUCUAUGGAAAGCCAAAGGAAAGAACUUAAUGACUGCAGAGCUGAAAUUACUACACUGAAGAUGCACAUUGCACGUUCUGGGCAGAAUUUGGUAUCAAGUGACUCCAAGCAUGUGGAGUUACGGUCCUCUGAAAGCUAUAUGGAAGAAAUAAAAUUGCUGGAAAAUGAGAUAGCGAGGUUGAAAGGAACAAAUGCCAUGAAUAUUGAACCAACAGAGGCCUUUGAGCAAAGUAAAGGAGGAGAUGCUGAAAGUGAAGUUCGAGAUUCGGUCAAAGCUAAUAGAUUAGAAUCUCCAGGUCAUAUCUCCAGAGAGGAUUUACGAAGUGAAGAUUCUAACUCACAAUCUGUGCCAACUGUGGAUGGCACCACAAACAUAUUAGACAAAGUGUCAGAAGGGAAACAUUUGUCAUUGUCAGAUGACAAUGGUGUCUUUGUGAACAAUGAAAAGUUUCUCAAAGGGGUUCAUGAAACUCCUAUAGAAACUAAUGAGCUAAUUCUAAGAACUGAAAACAUUCCUGUUGAUGCUGAAACUACUGUAAGUUCCUUCAGUUUCCUUUUGAAUCAUGCUUUCUUUGACCUGGAGAUAUACUUUUCUGAAUUGAUUUUCUUCCUUACCAGGGAUUGGCAACCAUACAGGUCCUUUCAGAUGCAUUGCCUAAAAUUGUACCCUAUGUAUUGAUUAACCAUCGAGAGGUAUGCUUCAGAAGUUGUUGCCAUCUGUGUUUUGAUCUAUUUUUUUAUUAUACUUUCAGAACAGCUUCUGAUAUCCCAUAGCAAUAUGUUUUUUCAUGGAUCACAUGAUAUUGCGUAUCUGCAGGAGCUCCUUCCCCUGAUGAUGUGUGCAAUUGAGCGCCAUCCAGACAGCAUGACUCGAGAUUCCUUGACCCACACGUUAUUCAAUUUAAUCAAGCGUCCAGAUGAACAGCAGAGACGUAUUAUUAUGGAUGUUAGUUUCAUAACUAUUCUUAUCUGUACUAUAUAUAUAUAUUAGACAAGUUGCUGAUGCUGUGAUCAUGUUCAGGCUUGUGUUACACUUGCCAAGAAUGUGGGAGAGAUGAGAACAGAAACGGAGUUGCUUCCUCAAUGUUGGGAGCAGGUAUGCCUUGCCACUUCCAGAAUGAUGGUUCUUAAAUUUAUUAAUGUGUUUUUGGCUGUUUCCAGUCUGAUUUGUGAAUGAUUGAUGUGUAGAUCAAUCACAUGUAUGAGGAGCGACGUCUGCUGGUUGCUCAAUCAUGUGGAGAGCUUGCAGAAUUUGUCCGUCCAGAGAUCCGAGAUUCUCUCAUCUUAUCUAUUGUGCAACAGCUGAUUGAGGAUCCUGCAAUAGUUGUUCGUGAGGCUGCUUCUCAUAAUCUCGCUUUGCUGCUGCCACUCUUCCCCAAUAUGGAUAAAUAUUUCAAGGUCAGCCUCACUAAAUAUGCUUCGAGGCUAUCAUGGAGAAGAAAUCUGACUUCACAGAAUUGCCUACAAUGUAAGCUCCGUGAUCUAGGGAAUGGAGCAUUUCCCCUGGUCAUAGUAUGAUGACUUACAAGAAACAGUAAGACCAAUAAAAAGGAGUUUCUCCAAUAAAUAUUUUUAUUUGUUGAUAGGUUGAGGAGAUGAUGUUUCAGUUGGUGUGUGAUCCGUCUGGGGUGGUUGUAGAAACCACUAUCAAAGAACUGGUUCCUGCUCUAGUAAAAUGGGGUAACAAAUUGGAUCAUGUUUUACAGACUUUGCUUUCCCACAUCUUGGGUUCUGUUCAGGUACUAGUCCAGCUUCUCGAACUUGAAUGGAACUGCUUUAGUUGUAGCUCUAAUAUGCUUCUCUAUUUUUCAGCAUUGUCCACCUCUAUCGGGGGUUGAAGGUUCUGUCGAGUCGCAUCUUCGUGUUUUAGGUGAAAGAGAACGCUGGAAUAUUGAUGUCUUGUUGCGCUUGUUGACAGAACUGCUCCCAUUUUUGCACCAGAAAGCUGUUCAGACUUGCCCAUUUGCGUCAGUUUCAAAUGGUGUAGGAACUUUCUUCUCUGUUUCCUUGCUUGAACUAUAUUCUAGGUGAGCUCAUGUUUACAUUGUCUCCCUUCCAGAUCCAAUAGGAAAUGGUUCUUCAUGUUUUCCAUCCACCUUGGGAGUCUAGGAAAUCUAGAUUUGGUAUAAGCUUCUAAUUUGAAAUUUCUGUUUAGGGGAAAUGUGGAGUGGCCUUCAUUUGAUUGGCUACAUAUUGACUGCUUUCCUGAUUUAAUUCAACUGGCCUCUCUAUUACCUCAAAAGGAAGACAAUUUGAGAAAUCGAAUCACAAAGGUAUUUGAACAGUCCAAUCGGGUGCAUUUGAUUUAAUGAUUCUUCUGAUUUCACUUUGAACUGUUAUUGAUAUGGUGUUUCCUGAUGCAGUUUUUGUUAAGGGUUUCUGAAUGUUAUGGGGAAGCUUAUUUGACGCAUAUUGUGCUGCCUGUAUUCUUGCUAGCAGUGGGUGAUGAUGGUGAUUUGACAUAUUUCCCCCAGAACACUCAUGAGAAAAUAAUAGGUGAUUGAAUGCUUAAAACCUUCAUGACUGCAUGUUCCUCUUGAUUUGAGUUUUGAAGGAUAGAGUCAUAGUGAUGAGUAGUUCCUUUUGUAACAGGUUUGAGACCAAAAACUACAGUAUCUGGUAGACUUGCUACCAUGGGUGUUCUGCCGCUUCUCUUGGCAGGUGUUUUAGGAUCCUGGAGCAAGCAUGAUUACCUCACUGAGUACUUGAGGAAGAAGUUGUUUCAGAGCUCUGAGGAGGAAAUUCGGCCAGCAAAGCCUGAGCUUGUUAAUUCUGUUCGCUUCCUUUGGUUGGUUUUGUGAUGAAAUUUUCACAUGUUGUGCUUCCAUUGUAAUUUACAUGUAUUCUGUUAGUUACUAUAUAUGUCAAUGCAGCAUGUACAAGGACAAUCAUAACAUGAUUUUUGACAUCCUUUGGGAAAUGGUGGUCAAUUCCAAUAUAGACACGAAAAUUUGUGCAGCCAAUCUUCUGAAAUCAAUUGUAGGACCUUUAAUUCUUGAAAAUUUUCAGUUCCAUUUUGGUUUAGAAUGUAUUUAUUGAAUCUCACCAUUCUUUCUCCUAGGUGCCAUAUCUGGAUGCAAAAAUUGCUUCAACACAUGUUCUGCCUGCUCUUGUUACGCUGGGUUCUGACCAAAAUUUGAAUGUUAAAUAUGCAAGUAUUGAUGCAUUUGGAGCUGUAGCACAGCAUUAUAAAAAUGACAUGGUAUAUACCUAUAUUUUGUUCCAGUUUUACAUCCGAUUAGAUAUUGAUAUCUUUAUGUUGGCUGAUGAGAUAUUCUCUCAGAUUAUUGACAAAAUUCGGGUUCAAAUGGAUGCUUUUCUUGAGGAUGGAUCGCAUGAAGCUACAAUAGCUGUUGUCCGUGCAUUGGUUGUUGCUGUUCCACAUACGACAGACCGACUCAGAGAUUAUAUCCUCUAUCAUUCUGCUUUGAGCAGUUUAUUUUUGUGCUUUAAGUGUCUCUCUUCGUUUGCUGUAAUCUUAAGUAUUCUCUCCUAACCUCUAGUUGUGUGAAUGUGGUGAAAUCCUUUGUUCUUUAACUCAUUGUACAUCUCUUGUCCAAGAUUUUCCAAUUCACAGCCGUGCCACUCCCUUCAAAUGAUUUGAUUCGUCGGCGUGAGAGAGCCAAUGCAUUUUGUGAAGCCAUACGCGCUCUUGAUGCAACAGGUUUGCUUCUGUUAAUGUUAUGAAUUAAUUUUUUAUUUUAUGUCAUUCUCUUCUCCCACAUACAUGGGAAAGAGCAAAGUGAAAAAAAUUGUUCAAAAAUAAGCAUGCGAUUUUAUAGGGCCAUUUCCUUGAGAAGUAUAUGUUGUUACUGUUUGUGUUCAAUACCAUUCAAGACUACAAGAUGUAAAAGUUUGAACUGUUAUGCUGCAGCCAACUCUGACUGCUAAGCUUGAAGCAUUCAUAGUUGAGAGGCUGUAGCUGAAGUGGCUGUUGCCUAUUAGAUUGUUACCUUUUCUAAAGUGGAUGAAAUCAUACAACCCCUUAUCUUCUAAAACUUUCUGUUCUUUUCAAGAAUUUGCUGCUAGAAUCUCUGGAGAUGUUUAAUAUAGUUUUACUUCCGCAAGUUUUUAUGGAGUACAACUGUCAGCACAAGAUGUCUCAUUCUUAUUUUGGAGAGAAUUUAGUAAAAGCUAUGGGUUAUUCUUUGAGGUUGGUAGAUGCUCCUGAUUGGAUGAGGUUACAGCAGUAAUAACAAUUUUGGUAUAAAACAUUUAUAUCAUGAAUGUGGCUUCAAGAAGGUGAUGAUUGUCAUGUAACCAACUUUCUACUGUUGAUUGUAGUAUAAAAAGUUGUGCGCGCCAAAUUCUUAUAGGGCUUUUUUGCACUUAUCAUGCUCAACUUUUCUUUCAGAUCUUCCUGCUUCAAGUGUUAGGGACUUUCUUUUGCCUGGAAUCCAGAAUCUGUUGAAGGACACUGAUGCCUUGGAUCCAGCGCACAAGGAAGCACUUGAAAUCAUAAUGAAGGAGAGGUCUGGCGGAACUUUGGACACUAUUAGCAAGGUAAUGGGUGCCCAUCUAGGUCUACCAUCUUCUGUAAGCAGUUUCUUUGGUGAAAGCGGGUUACUGGGGAAAAGGGAAACUGUAGAUCAAGCUUUGCCAUCACCAGAGCCGGUUCCAUCACCACCAGCAGUUGAAGAUACAAGACUACGGCGGAUCAUGAGGAGCAGUUUCACGGAUAUGCUCAGGGGCAAAGCAAAGGGCAGUGAUGACACUCCUCACAGCCAGUGACGAGGCUAUACUUUUGUAGAUUUUAAACCAUAGGGCCUUAGGCACGUUGGGUGGGUGGUAAUGAAGGAAGAAUACAAAUAGUGUGCGAACUAGUUAAGGAUUUCUUUACAUUCUUUGGUUCCUGUGACCCAUAUAAAGUUUGAAAUUUUGCAGUUUCUUGUGGAACUAUACAUGGAAAAAAAAAAAAAAAAAAACAACAUUGAAUCAGCACAAUCCACUGCAGGUUUUACAUUUCGUGUUUUCUGAGUGGAGGAACGUGCCUUCAGUCCUUUGCCAACCAGUUCAGGAGGCCAUUCGUGUUGCUUGAGUUAGAAAAUAGACUUCUUGUAACCAUUAUUAUGACUGGAAGGUCAGAGUUUAUUCGCUUUGAUAUUCCAUGUAAAAGGCAACGGUUCUGGCAUUUGAAACAGCACGAAACAAGAGCAACUGCUCUGAGAUAUACGGCUUAGUUAGUCUGCAACCAUACCGUUGCUUGCCAUUUUCACCACCCUUAAUUUGGCGUGCUAGUCUCUGAUAUUCUGUGUGUGUUCCCCUUCGGCUGCAGGAAUCAGGAGGCUCAUCCAUGAAAACUUAAUAGAACAAAUGCGAGCUCAACUAAAAUCUAAUGUUUGAACUGGCCGUGCCUGGUUACUGAUUUUUUAUUAUUUCUCAUUAACAUAAUUAUUGAAGUCAGCUAAAGAAUAACAACAUGAACACCCUUCGGCCCUUAACUUUUCAAUUCCAAACCCAAACGAAUUGCUAGAGCCAAGUCUUCAGUGCGCUAUUGCGCUUUUGUUGAUUUACGUUGUCAGUUAGCUGAGUCUGUCAACAUACUUUCGAGAUUAAAUCGACUUUAGUGUCUUAUAAUGCUGGGUCUGCUGGCUAUGCAGUCGGAUGAUUCUCUGGGACAGCUUCAUCUUGAUUUCACAAUUUUAAUCCGAGGACCAAGGAGUGAACUUCCAUUGUUCCUUGCCCCAAAAUCAUAUUUCAUGAUAGAUCGCCAACGCGUGCAGUAAAGAAUAUGACUGCUAUAGCAUGUAAAAUUUUGGGUGGCCAACAUAAAGGCACCAGGUGAAAGCCAAAAGUAAAUACUCCGUCCGUCCCAUUUUAAUGAUCUUAUUUUUUUUGUCUGUCUCAAAUUGUAGUCUAUUUUUCAACUAAAAAAUGUAGUUAUCUUUUAAUUUUUUUAAAAUAUCCUUAUUUAAUGUAGGUUGUUAUUAGUAUAAACUAUCUUAUUUAAUGUAAAUUGUUAUUGAAUAUAACCUAUCGCAUAUAAUACAUUUAAAAUUUUCAAAAUAUAUUGAUAUAUGAAAAGCCAAUUUUGUUAUUCUUUCAAACUUAUUUAUGUCAGUAGGGAAACAAACGAUGUCAUGAUUGUCUACAUUAUUGAAAAUGUGAAAUAAUGUAAAAUGAGAAUUGAUUCUUUUUUGACCAUCAAUUCAAGAUUUUAUGAAUAAUUAAUAUUAAACUAUACUCUAUUUAAUAAAAGGAUAUUUUAGAAAAAUAACAACUUAAAUUUGCUUUUCCAACAAAAGUAACUACUUUUUCUUAAACCGUGUGAAAAAAAAUAGAACUAUCAAAAUGGGAUGGAUAGAGUAUAAAAUUUUAACUUUGCAGGUGCAAAUAUCCACAACACAGGAGAGUGGCCGGGUGAAAUGUCCCAGAAACUGUAGGGCUUUCCUUCCGUUUUCACUUCCGAUGCUUAAAUUAGUUAUUAUAGGUUUUUAUCAGAAGGAAAAAGUUGAAGGAAGAAGAAAGCUAGUGAUCUCUCUCUUCAAAAAUCAGUGCGUACCUUUGAAUUAGGGUCUUUUAUCUCUAAAUCCAUUUUGGGCUCAGUAUCCAACUAUUAUGACAAUGUCGCCAAUAUGUCUCAUCUUAACUGACCCUUAAUUGAUCUUGUGAGCAAUAGGGUAACGCUAUCACUAAUUGCGAUCUGCAAUCUCGAGAUCACAAAUCACAAGGGAAUAACAUAUAAAUUGUCAGAAUGUCUUUUCUUUUGAAUACAUGUCAGACGUUAGGGUGACUAAAAAUAUGUCAAAUAUCACGAUGAUUGACACGUUGUCAAGAUUACGGACACGUGUCGUCUUGUAAGAUCCGUCUCCUCCAAACUAGAAAAUGUAUUAAAAAAUUAAAAACUACUUUUAAUGAGUAGAAUAUAUAAUCUAAAAUUACUUAAAACCUUAAAUGAAUUCUCUCUCUCACCACGUUUCACCCUAUAGAAGAGAACUGCGGCUUCCCGUCAGGCCAUGAUUGAAUCCAACAAUUGCAGUAAAGGCUCUCUACAGCUAGAAAAAACGAUGGCAAAACAACUGGGCACAGGUUUAACGCUAAUCUUUUGAUGUACGGAGUUGAUCAUUUUCGAAGUCAUUAUAUUAAUUCCUAACCAAGAAGUUACUAGGAUUUCAAACCAAGUUACUAUAGUUUAUUCGGCCUAUCAAGCGAGUUGUUUAAUCGGUUCAACAAGAUGCAUGUUUGUUCCGUUAGUUGAGGCCCCGUGAAGCAUGAUCAUUAGAUGAUAACACCCAAGGCAGUGAUUCAAGCUUCUGUCGUCUUGUCCUAUAUAUAUAAGACCAUUAGAUGUGCCGCAGGUCAUGGUGAGAAUUGCAUGGAGAUUUAGAAAUUAAGGGGGGAAAAAAAAGACAAAAAUUUUGGUUCCAUCCAUAUAUGCUCAGUAUUUUGCUGCGAGGCAAUUACUUUGUACGCGUGAUUUUAUUUCCCUAAUCGCAACUUUCCACGUCGAAUCUAGCAAGAGUCCUAUUCUUCAUAUGAUUAAGCUUUCGGAUUUUGUAGUUUAUAAAAGGAUGACUGAUUUGGCAGUGCAUUAACAUGUAUUAGAAAAUAUUUCCAUAACCAUUAACAUCCUCCUCAUCUUGUUCUACAUUCGAGAACAAAGGCCAUGAGCAAGGGACUUGAUGACGAACGAAAGGCCAUUAACAAACAACUGCAUCGAGAACAAAAUUAAAUUGCAUCCACACCUAGCCAAGAAGCUCCAACAACUCUUCAAAAAGUCCUCAGGAGCAGGAACUCUAAAUUGAAGAAUAUUAAACCAAACUGUUUUAGUAUUAGUUUUCGAAUUCUUUCUGAUGUCUUGUUUGUCUAGUUUUCAAAUUAUAUUAGGAAAUUUCAAGUCAGUUUUCAAGUAAGUUUUGGUUUAUAAUUGUAUUUGUUUUAGAAAAUUUUGCAGUCUAUGAAUACUACUAAUCUAGUAGGUUAUUAUUUGAAAAAUUAAAUUGAAGAGUCGAGUCGAGUCAUAGAAGAGUUGAAUUGAAGAGUUAAGUUGAAUCUUGAAAAGUAGGUUUGAGAAAAAAUCUCAUAAUUGAAAUUUAUGAGUUGUCGUGAGCGAAAAAUUACGAUUUUAUAUUUUUAUUGUUGAGUUUGAGUUAAAUACAAUUAUUAAAAAUUUAUUGAGUAUUUGUUCUCCUCCUUUUUUUUUUUACAUAUUUUUAUAUGUGCUAAAAUUAUUUUCGCUGUGUGUGAGAGUAUUUUUUGUGCCGACAAGUGGUAUCAAAACUAGAUUUUGAUCUUGGAACUUGUUCACAAAAUUGGGACUUGGAUCUUGUUCGUGAAAUUGAAGUAUGGAUCCAUAUCAUUUAGAACAUUGUCCUAUUUUUAUCUUUCAUGGUAAAAAUAAUUUUGAAAUUUGGUGGUUGAUGAUAAAAAAAUUUUUCAAAGAUAUUGGAGUUUGAAACACUAUCCAAAAGAGGUUCACGGAACCUAUAGUAGGUACAAAAUUAUCAAACGAUACAGUUAAACAAUUACAGAGAAAUAAAUACUUGAAUUGCAAGACAUGCUACUAUCUCAGUACUCAAGUCCAGUUACAUGUAGUGAAAAAUUUUAUAUUAGUGAAAAAUUUUAUAUAUAUAAAGGCAGCAAAGGAUGCUUGAAAAAUUUUAAUAAAUUUUUAUAGUUAUGAUGGAGAAGAAAUUUAUGACGAGAAACAAGGAAUAGAAAAUUUUGAUGAGGCAAAGAAAGAAGAAAUUGCAGAAAUUGUGGAUACAAUUGAAGAUGAAGAAUUUGUGAUUCAAGAAGAAAUUUCACAUAUGGUUGAGAAAAAAAAAUGAAGUCAUUGAUGAAAUUAAAGAUGUGCUUGAAGAUCAUGACCACGUAGAAAUUGUUAAUUUUGUCAAGAUUGGUGAAUUUUUUGAAGAGAAAAAUCACGUGAUGGAUUUGGUUGAAAUCAAUUAUAAGGUGGACAAAUUAAUUGAAGGUUGUAGUACUGCUAAAGUUGAUGCAGCUGUUAGUGUUGAAAAAUUAAAGAAAAAACAUGGUGAUAUUGGAAAUUUCGUUGGUAAAAUUAUGAUUUUUGGAAAUUUUAUUAAUGAUAUGAAUGAAUUGAAUUGUGGAUUAUUUAAUGAAAAUCGAUGGAUAUAUUUGAAUAUUUUGACAAGAGUGAUCAAACCAAGAAAUUGUUUGAGAACUACAAGUUUCCUCCACUAUCGCGCGUGAAGAUAAAAUUAAAAAUUCACUGCAAAUUAGUGUUUUAUGUGUUUAUACAACGACUGAAUUGUUCAUGAAAAUUCAAUUUCGUGAUAGUAUUGGAGAUGACGAUAUUAAGAGUUUGAUUUAAGGGAAGUAAUGAAGGAAAUUAAGCCAAACUAUUUUGGUAUUAGUUUUAUAAUUCUUUUUGGUGUCUUAUUUGUCUAGUUUCCAUAUUAAAUUAGGAAAUCUCAAGUCAGUUUCCAAUUAAACUUUGGUUUACAAUUGUAUUUGUUUUGGGAAACUUUGUAGUCUAUAAAUACUACCAGUCUAGUAGAUUAUUAUUUGAAAAGUGGAGUUGAAGAGUCGAGUCGAGUUAUAGAAGAGUUGAAUUAAAGAGUUAAGUUGAGUCUUGAAAAAUAGACUUGAGAGAAAAUCUCAUUGUUAUUGUUGAGUUUGAAUUAAAUAAAAUUAUUGAGAAUUUGUUGAGUAUUUGUUCUUCUUCUUUCUCCACAUAUUUUUAUACGUGCUAAAAUUGCUUCCGCUGCGUGUGCACGUAUCCUUCGUGCCAACAUAAUGUUGAUGCAAGAGAGAUGCAAAAAAGCCUCACAUGAGUUUUUUUUGGCUCAUGAGUCUUCUAACCUUGUAGACUCUUCCUAUAUAAUUGAUCGACUACGUAGAUUCAACACUGCCUUGAAGAGCAACAGAGGUACAACAAGAAUAGUGACCUCUAUUACAAAGUCAGAAAGGGUUCUUGAAUGUAGCAAGGCUACCGAUGAGGUUGAGCGCGAUCGAAAGAUUAGAGAAUACAUUGUUUUCGACUUUGGCGAUGAUUAUGGCAAGAGGGGUUAUUCAGAUCUAGAUGACGAGUUCUUUUACGGAAAUUUGGAUCCCAGCCUCACUGAUAACGUAGUUGUGUUUGACAACAUCUGUCUCACCGAAAUUGAGGAUAGAAAGUAUCGAAGAGAUGAGAUAUUUACGCUGUCACCAUUGACGAAAGAAGAUUUGGAGUUUUUUACUUCUCAAGGGCUAUAACCUUCAUCCACGAUCUCUUGUUUGCUGGGAAAUAGUUGCAAUCCUACGUCAUGUGCAUUUUUCAAGUUUUAUUAAUUUUGUGAGUUACCACUUCUUUUUAUUUCCAAAAGUAGUAAGAGUACAAUUCUUUGUCUCAUUAAUAAUGUUACCUUCAUAUAUGCAAGCGCCGCCCAAGCUUAGCUAAUGAUUUCAAGAAGUAAAUGCUUUCGUUUUUCUUGAAUUAAAUCUCAAUUCGAUUUUGUUUUGCAAUUUUGUGCCCAAUUCGUUUGUCAUUGUGGAGAAUUACACGAGUAAAAUAGUAAUGGCACUUUGCUUCCUCCGUGAAUGAUAACAAUAACCCGUACUUAACGGCAAAAACAUGAUGAAAAUUCCAUUACUUGCAUAUCGCUACCAGUCAAAUUGACACAUUCCAACAGCGGACACAGAAAUAUUUUGCUCUUUUAGUGCAAAUUCAAUGUCAUAUGUACUAAGCUCAAAGAGAGCAUAGAAAUGUGAUUAAAAUAUGAGCAGGCAAAUAAUACGAAAUCAAGAACUGUAUAAGAAAGUAAACAAUUAAUUGCCCGUCGAAGAAGAAUAUAAGAAGUAUGUGGUUUUUGUUGCUAGUGCUGCAUAAUGUUAUGGUGCAUUGCCUUUGAAUAUUGAUGAUCUUAGCACACCUUACAUCCAAAAAUUUAAGGCAGAAGAGGCACUUUAUAUAGCUGUGAAAAGAAUAUGAGUAGGAAAUUAAUGACACUUAAUUGACAAAAUCACCAUUGGUUGCGUCCUCCUUUUGGAGAGAUUGGAAUUUGGAAACAAAAUGAAUAAUGAGAUCGGGCUGGAAAAUGUUGCGUUAGGAAAAAAAAAUAUGGCUAUGGCUAGAAAGAAAGAAAGAAAGAAAGUUGAACAAGAGGAGACGAAUAAACAGAAAAGGAAAAAGUUUCAAGUUUCUCCCUUAGUCAAAAUCUCUUUCGUUCAAGAAAACAACACUAGAAGCUUCGAAAUUAGCGACACAUCUCUGUUAAAAUGAUAAUUUGUUGAGUGCACUCCGAUAUUAAAAUCAGUUAAAAUGAUAAUGAGGAGGAGGGCACUCAAGACUGUAAAAAGAAAAGGCUUCCUAUAAAAUACACUCCAUUAUCAAAUUGCUACGAGUAGGUUUUGACAUGACCUUAGCCUACCAUCCUCGCGACAAACGGUGCAAGUUUGGCACUUGGCAGGCACACAUGGGCAGUCAGUGGGAUGUCCACUGCCCCAAACCUAGUCAGUAGUAUUUCUAUUUCAUUUUCCCCUCUAUAAAUUGCCCAGCAACUGAGGUCUUCUUGCACACAUUUUCACUUGCCCCAUUCGAAUAUUUCUCGUCUCCUCUCCCCAGUUCUGCACUAGCAUUGCUUCCCCAGAAGAAGAGGAAAAAAAAAAAAAAGAAAAAUUCUCAAAUAGGAGCAGCAAAGUAGCAAUGAAGAUGAAGUUUCGUCAUGCGGUUGCAGCCUGGUUGGUGAUGCUGGUGGUGGCCGUCGGUGAGGUCCAAGUGAGCAGGGCAGUCACUUGCAGCAUAGCAGAGCUGAGUCCGUGCCUUUCCGCAAUCAAUGGGCCCAACCCACCGUCUGCACCUUGUUGCGCCAAGCUGAAGGAACAGAGGCCUUGCUUUUGUGGGUACAUCCAAAAUCCCACCUAUGCUCAGUACGUCAAUUCCCCUAAAGCCAAAGGCAUUGCUAAAGCCUGUCAAGUCUCGAUUCCCAACUGCUGAGUUAAUGGGAAAGGCAAGUUCUCGCCUCAUGGAGGAUGGUCAUGAUAUAUUCUACUACUAUGUAUUCUCACUAAAUCUUCCUCAAUAAAAGUGGCCUUUACCUGAAACUACUGAAAGGGAACGGAGGCAUAUAUGAUUAUAUAUAUAUAUAUAUAUAUAUAUAUAUAUAUAUGUAUGUACUAAACUGCUUUGCUCCUCCAUCACCUCCUCGUCCUCGUAGCGCCAUGCACUCUCUAUUUCUUGAACAAGACCAGUGGAUGGUUUAAUAUGCAUUCCAAUUAAUUAUUCAAGAAGAUAAUUUGCAUCUAUAGCUUUGCAAUCGCUUUAACUCUCAUUUCUGUGUACAGCCAUACCAUCCGUCACGCUUUAACCCUUUUUUCUUUCGUUUGGCGAUGCGACAAAUUAAUGAAAUGGGAACAUAAAUACAGUACCUGAAACGCAAGUUUUUUUUUUUUUUUGGAUUGAAGAAUCCCAUCGGCAUCUUGCAAUGCUUAAACAUAAUAGAAAAGGUCAGACGAAGGGAAAGCAGAUCGAUAGCUGGUUUCUGAAUAACAAUCCUCAGAAUCUCUUAGAGGAGUCUUCCCUCAGUAUCAUAAUAGCUUUUUUUUUUUGUUGGGAAAAACUCAGCAGAAUCAGAGAAGCAGGGUCUUCUUCUAUAAGUUAAUAUGCAUUAACCACCGACAAUUGAAUACCAAUGUCGAAUUAUCAUAUCAGAUAGGCAAUGAUAGGCAAGGGAGGGCCGCUACAAAGAAGUUUCAAAAUUAAACGUAGAAAUGAAGCUGAUAUCCAUAUAAUUACUAGUUGAGAUGAUUGUGGGUCUAAGAAACUUCACUUUCGCAACUCUUUUUCUUCCAAUAAACAACGACAACUGAAAAUUCAUUGAAGUCAUCACAAACUGCAUCAACCUUCUUCUCUCUUUGGACCUUUUUUCAGCACAUUACGUGCCCCCGUCUACUGUUUUUUUUUUCCUUGGAAAUUAGACCAGCGCACUCUUAUGAGAUGACGAACCUUAAUAUAUAAGAGGGUAAUAAUGCUAGAUAUUAUAUUGUUCUCCUUAUUAAAAUGUAUUAGCCUAUUAGGAUAUAAUAAGAGAGAGUAAUCCAAGCAAGCCUCGUACGAAAAAUUUAAGUUGUGUUUGGAUUACAUUUUCCGUCAUUUUUCAUGAAAAAAUUAUUGUAGCGAUUUGAUACAUGUGAGGGAAAAAGGUGAUAGAAAAAUGUGAUCACGAAAAACGAUAAUAUUUUCUGACAGAAACAAGCAAUCCAAACAAGGCCGAUCGAAAUAAAAACAUGUCCGUCUGUUUUCAUUGGAAGAAAACUACAAAACAGAAACUUAUACUACUCUUUCUAUAACUUUUUACUGAGCCUGGGUUCAAGACUCACGAGAGGGAAGUCUUCCUUUCCGGACAAAAAGAGCGGCUCACGAUGCUGGUUAGGCGGAUGACAGAGAGAGGUGGGCAAGUGAAACGCGGUAUGAAAACUUGACUUCUUCCUGGCUAUACAAAUGAUUCUUCGCUCCCAUCCAAAUCCAGACAAGACGGGGACGAAUGAGGUUCGCGACAGAAAUUAUUAUCAUGAUUAGCGUUAAAGCCACCCGUGAUGAUGCGUGUGUGCAUUCUAAAAAUACUUUUUUUUUUUUUGACAAAUUAAUUUUACUUAAAAUUUUCGUUACUAAAAGCCAGUUGUGAUGUUUGAACCCUUUUUUCCUGCCCUAUAAAAUGAUGAUUAUUUUAGUAGUAGUUGCAGUGAUUAGCGGUAGUUAUUUUGUCAAGAUAGUCCUGAGUUAAAUAUUUUGGUGUUUAAGUAGCGAAGUAAUAAGUAAUUUUUACGGGCGAGCGUAAAGUUCAAAACAUAUAAAGUGACAAAAAAAUAUUUAUUCCAACUCCUCCUCUUAUACGUAAUAGUAUAUACAUCAACUCUUUUUUUUUUUUGGACUAAUAAUAAUCAAACAAACAACAGCCAACUCCUCUUAGGUGAAGUAUAAAAUGCAAAUCUGACUGCAGGUUAGUGUUCGAGCAAUCCCUGUAUUUGUUUUCUUUUGCUAUAGUAAAAUUUAAAGGGAUUGCAAAAUAGUCCAACAAUAACGGAGGUGGUGGAUGACCGACACUAACGGAGGAGCCAUGUACACAAGUAAUGAUUUGCAUCAUGCUUAUAUGUUUUAAACACAUGGAUCGAAUUACCAUUUAACUUUCACCUAAGCAAUCUUUCAAGCUCCUGCACGAAAGAUAUUAGCAGGCCGAUAUUUUCUUUGUCGCCAUUAUUAUUGCUUCUGUGCUUUGAACCAAUAGAUAAAAAGAACAGGAUCAUCAGAGGGGAAGCUUUCAUUCGCGGGUCAGGCGGCUAUUACAAAAAUGGACUUCUGGUCUUGUGAUUUUCUGAAAUGAGCGUGCAGAUAAAACGGAAAUGGACACGUAAGGACGACGACGAAGACUUGAAUGAGUCAGGAGACAAAUCAGUCAUGCCUUUGCCCUCUCUUCUCUUGCAAUUAGCCGAUUAGUCACUCACGCGGGAGAAAUUAGUGGUGGUUGACGUUGAAACUUUUGGCCAAAUGUUGAAACUUGAAGGUGGAAAUAUUGGAAAAGCCACCAAGAUUUUUAAAGGUUUUCCACUUCAUUCAUGACAAGCAAUUAGGCCAAUGUCAAUUUCCUAGUGAAAUUUGGCACGAAACCUCUCGUCUUAUAGUAAAUGGGACCUAUUAUGUUUAUUCCUGGCUAAUCCCUUUCACACCUCUGUUUGAUAUUAUUGUCUGCGACUAAUAAUGAAUCAGCACAUUUUACGACCAAGUCCCUCAAUCACGUCUUCGCUACAAAGAAGUUAUAAUAUAAUCCUAUAAAUAGCUUAGCAGGAUUGCACCUCUUCCUCAAAUUCUCAUAACCCUUCAUUCCACCAGGCCAAAAAAAAUGAAGCUUUCGCAGAUGCGUCUGUGUAGCGUGUUACUGUUAGUAGCGGUGAUUGUUGGUGAAGUGGAAGUGAGCAGGGCAGUGACGUGUACUCCGACGGAGCUGAGUCCUUGCGUUUCGGCAAUCAUAUCGAACCAGCCACCGUCGCCGGCUUGCUGCAGUAAGCUGAGGGAGCAGAGGCCCUGCCUCUGUGGUUAUCUCAGAGAUCCCAACCUCCGGCAGUAUGUCAACUCCCCUAAUGCUCGCAGGGUUGCUAGCUCCUGUGGUGUGCCCACCCCAAGAUGCUAAACUCCUCCUCCGUUGCAACAAUUCUGGAUCAUUAAUAGUAGUACUUAAUAUUUCUACUCCCAGCCUACUUCGGAUAAUACGAAUGAAAGAGCAAUAAAUAAAUGUUGUACCAACAUCAAAUCUUGCCUAUUAGGCUUGUAUCAUGUAAUGCCGGGAUUAACUUAAGUACCAUAUGUUACUGCUUCGGUAUGCAUCUCUGCCUCCCAUUUAUUUAAUUCUAUUAUUACACUGCACAAUUAUCUUCUGAUGGAAUCAGACAUAAUUCACACAAGGUGACGAAUCCUCAAUACUAUAUAACAGUAUAUAUGAUCACUUUUAAUAUCACCAAUUCGGUCGAUCGAUCACCAAGGUGAGAAUUUGCGUUUUGCCUGCCCCCGUUGGUAAACUCAUAGCAUACCCACAAGCAACAAACUGCUCUCUCUGAUUGCAUUUUUAGCCAAAAAAAAAACAAAAAAACAAAAAAGCGAAGAGAAGAAUGAAAUACUAAGAACAUAUGAGCCAAGUGCCGUUGUGAAUUUGAGUUUUUUUUUUUUUUUCCCCCUUCUCUCGUGCAACUGACCACUUCUUUUUCUCUAUUAUUAUCAGUGCUAAGGGCACACCUAUUAUGCUGUAUGUGCAAUUUGGAAACAAUUAUUUUGCAUAUGAAAGAAUUAUUUAAUAGAUUUUUUGAAUAGGAUUUUAAGUAAUUCGGUGAUUACAAACGCUCCAUGGGUGGUUAUAGUUUGAAUAGUUAGGGUCAAAGGUAGUUGUUGUUGUAUUGGUUGACAAAAUGAGCAAUAUGUGAUUAGACGGUAAAAAGUAAAAUUAAAUAAUUAUAUGGAUAAUUAAUGUUGAUACUAUAAAAAGUGACGAGAUAUGUUUAUAGUACCAAAUUCAUGGUUCUUUCUUUAUAUAUAGUGUAAAUUAGUUCUAAAGGCACACACAAUAUCAAUAUGUGUGCAUUUUAGAAAUACUUUUUUUACAAGUUAAUUUUAUCUAAAACUUCUUUCCCUAUCAAAUGAUGAUUAUUUUGGUACUUACAAUGUUUAGAGGCAGUUAUUUUAUCAAGAUGCGUUAAAAUAGUUAUGGGGGAAAAAAAUAUUUACAGCCAGUUAUCUUAACAAUUCAUGUUGAAAUAGUGAAGUAAUAAGUGAUUUUCACACAAGCAAAGUUCAAAGUGACAGCAAAUAUUUAUCCCAAACCUUCUACUUCUCCCUUUAUAUAUUAUAGAUGUUGACUUUAUUCUGGAUUAAAUAACGAUCAAAACAGACAAACUAAAAAAAAAAAAAAAAUUGAGUAAAAAAAUUCUUGGAUGCAGUUCAUUCGCACUUUUUCCUUCCAUAGUUAAUAACUUCCUGGAGAAUUUGUCAUUUCCUUGGAGUAUCUCGAGUUAGAAUUUAAAGAUAAAUUGAAAUCCUAUUUCCCUGGAGAACUGGAAAUACAUUUCUCGUCCCAGAUAUACGCAUUACCCAAAAAAUGCAAAACUAGUAGUCUCAGCUUGGGGCGUGACCGAUCAUAAUGAUUUGCAUCAUGUUUAUGCGUUUUAAACACAUUAAUUACCUUCCGACCGCCACUUUAGCAAUCUUUCAAGUUCCUCUGCCAAAAGCAUUAGCCAUUUUUGCGUCUCCGUUCGAACCAAUGGAUACCCGAAGGGGAAGCUUUUCGUUCCCGGGCCAGGCCGCUAUUAGAAAAAUGGACAUCUGACGGAGGAGCAGUCGCGUCAUUUUCUGAAGAAGAAACGGAAAUGGACAACGAGGACGACUUGGCGUUUGACAGGUGCGAAGACUUGGAAUGAAUCGUGAGCCUCCAAUGACUAAUCAGUCAGUCAUGCCUCUCUUCUCUUGCAAGUUGCAAUUAGCCAAUUCCUAGCACAAGUUGGAACUAUUAUUCCUGCCUAACGCGCUAAUCCGUUUCAAAGCCCCUAUUUGACAUUGUCUGUGAUUCAUAGAUCAGCCACGACUAGCUAGCUACGGAUACCAACAUUUUACCUACUCCCUCAAUCACGUCUUCACUGCAAAAUAUUUAUUAUAAUCCUAUAAAUAGCUUAGCAGGAUUGCAUCUCUUCCUCAAAUCCCCAUAACCCUUCAUUCCUUCGAUAAUUAUAUCCCUUCUGGAACACUCAUAUAACCCACCAAGAAAAAGAAUUAAAAAAACGAAGUUUUCUCAUAUGGGUCUGUGUAGUGUGUUACUGUUGGUAGUGAUGAUUGUUGGUGAAGUGCAAGUGAGCAGGGCAAUAAUAUGUAGUCCAACGGAGCUGAGUCCUUGCGUUGCGGCAUUCAUAUCGCAGCAGCCACCGUCGGGGGCUUGCUGCAGUAAGCUGAGGGAGCAGAGGCCCUGCUUCUGUGGUUAUCUCAGAGAUCCCUACCUCCGGCAGUAUGUCAACACCCCUAAUGGUCGCAGGGAGGCAAGCUUCUGUGGUGUGCCAUCCCCCCGAUGCUAAACUAAACUACUCCAUUACAAAAACUCUGGAUCAUUAAUGUUAUUGCUGCUGCUACUAGUGCUGCUUUGGACAAUACGAGCAAAAGAGUAAGAAAUAUUGUACCAAUAUCAAAUCUUACCUAUUAGACUUGUUAUGGUUCUUAUAAUGCGGGGAUUAAGCAAGCACACGUUUCUGCUUCAGCAUCUCUCCUUUCCCUUUAUUUAAUUCUAUUAUUACACUACGCAAUUGUCUUCUGAUGGAACCAACCAGAUAAUCCACAUAAGUGUGAUAUAACUAAUAUGAUUACGGGGGUCGAUCAGGUGAGAAUUUGCAUUUUGCAUCAGCUGGUGAGCUUAGAGUGUAGCCACAAGCUACUAAGUUUGUCUCUCUGACGGCAUUCUUACCAAAAAAUGCAAAGAGAAGAAUGAAACUCCACUAACAUAAGAGCCAACCGUCGUCGCGAAUUUGAGCUUCUAUGCUUGAUGAAUCCAAGUCGAAUUGAGAAAGAAGAAUAGAAAAAUCAGCAGGAAGGCAAAAGAAUUUGUAAGGAAUUAAUGGUAUUACAAACACAAAUCAGACCCUCAGUCCCAUUUAACUAGUGGCAAUUUGGUUUCACUCUUUCGUUCAUUUGAUGCCAAGUGUUCGAUUAAUUUUAGUUAAAAUUAAAUAUCACGUUUAAAAGAGAUACUGAAUUGCCACUGAGACAAUGGCGCUGAGGAUCUCAAUCGAUUACAAACAUGUCAAAAUAAAUUUAAAAAUUCUCACCAAUAUCGCAC